rnacentral:lncRNA from 1 species
UGAUAUCCCAACAUCAUCCUGUCCACCAUGGAGCAAUCUUCAACUUCACCUGCAACUAACAACGCUAUAAGAGGGGCUGAGGAAAGCGGUAAGAUAGCCAAGCAAUGGUUUGCUAGGAAGGGUGAAAAGGUAGCGCAGCAUAGCGAUAGAACGAAGCAACUAGCAUACGAAUGAUAGUAAUGAGAUCCAAGGUGAUGGUCAUCUUGCCUGAAAUCCCGCUAGGAAGAAGAACGAGUCCAUGAAGAAGAUGAAGCCACGAAGACGAACCAAGCGUAGACGAACGAAUCCUCACGAUCACAACGAAACGGGAAACUAUCGAGAAGAAGCACACAACAUAGUAAACACACCACACAUGGACAAGACAUGAUGCUCGACCAAGCAUGAAGCAAGACAAACUAAAGAGGCUACUGAGGCAAGAGAUGAUGCAUACAAGAGCAACAAACCAAAACCAGGUUAAAUGAGGCCGGAAACAACAUAUAACAAUUCCGGUAAGUCCUCAUAUGCAAAUUUCGAAAUUGGUCCAGAUCUGAACAAACAUUAAGUUGAAGUUGUUUAACAGCAAGUUUAAAUGCAGCAAGAGAAUCUACACGAAAUUCUAGUCAAGUUACAUAUAAAGUUCAUUUAGUGCGGAGCUACGGCCUAGAAGAUAUGAGCAAAACAAGUUAAACAUGGCAUUGAUGCAAAAUACAUACAAACAUCAAGCAAACACUCUCAAAACAUGGAUGCAACAUGAUAGUAUGAAACUACAUGCAAAAUAAAGCAAGUUUCAUAUAGAGCACACUCAAAACGGAGCAACGGUUCCACAUAUACACUCUAUACAAGUUUAAAGGACAAGCUGUCCAAAACAGCAACUAGGCAUCUGGCAAACAUCACUAUGCUAUAGUACCACAAUAUGAAAACAAAAGGCAUGGACAUGAUGUACAGGUAAAGCAUGACAAAACAUGAAGACUGAGCUAACUCCAGAAAUCACUAAAACGUACUCAAAAGGACAUGACAAGAUUGCAAAUAAUAACAGUUUCAGUCUUAGCAGAAAUAACAUCAGGUUGCAUUGUUUUGAGCUAUCAAACAACAUGCUACAUGAAUUUAACAUGGCAAACAAAGGCAUGGCAUGAAUCUACUAAUUGCAUAUAACAAAAGUCCCUUACUGACCAUGAGCCAAAAAGGAGCAGAAGAUAUGAUGGCACCCAUGUAAACAUGGCAAAUAAUAUGACAGAUUCGUACAUGGCAGAAACAACAAUAAGUAGGCAUGUUGGUGAGCUUGAACCACUCACCACAGAGCAAUACAUGGCAUGGCAAGGCAACCAACAGUAAUAAGACAUGAUUAUGAAGCUAAACAUGGCAAGAGCAAGUUCAUAGCAUGCUUGGAUCACUAACAACAAUCAUGGCAACAUUGAACUUAAUGUUAACUGACUGACAACAACAUUAUUUAGCAAGUUUGGAGCAAGAUAACAACAAGUUACAGUAGGCAUAGAAUGGAUAGAUCAUGACAUGUAUAACAAAUCAUCCUUAGUGAACAUCUCCAGAUUAUGCAUAGAAUGACUUGUAGCAGCAGGUUUACAUAGCAUCAUAAUAUAGCAGAUUCAGACUAGCAAAACAGCAACAGCAAGUACCCUACUUAACAUGCUCGAUGCACUCACUACAAAACUCACAAAAAUACAUGGAUGGCACCCCUGUAAAUAUGGCAUGAUGUAGCACAAAACACAUUUAGGGCUCAAGCUCAUAAGAUGCACACAUCAAAUGCAACAAAAAUGACAAAUCAUCAAGUUAUAACAGUUUCAGCAGAUUAACAUCAUAUAGCACUCUUGCAAUGAUGAUUCGGGCAUCAAGAUCACCUGAAACAAACAUGGCACAAUGGAAUGAAAUGAAGAGCAUCUCACAACGAACAUUUUGAUAUAUUAAACAUGCAAAACGGAUCUACGGAUGAGGAGAUAUGGCAGGUCAAAGUAUGCACCAGAAUGUGAAAACUUAAGGACUUGGAGAAAAACGAGGGGGGUUCAACCUCAGAUCUAGGGUUGCACGUGGAUCGAGGCAGGACCAGAGAUGCUCGCCGGAGCUAGCGGGGCCUGGCCAGAGGAGUCCCGGGACGGUGGCGGUGCGGGGUCGAGAGCGGGGAGGCGGCGGCCAGAUCUGGUCCGCUCCGGCCAGAUCCGAGGCGGCGGCGUUGGGGUGGCCCGGCAGGGCAGAGGCCGGCGGUGAUGGUCCCUGGCGGCGCGGAGGGGCUCCGAUGAGGCGGGACGGGGAGAGGCCGGCGGCGGCGCUGGUGGAAGGCGGNNNNNNNNNNNNNNNNNNNNNNNNNNNNNNNNNNNNNNNNNNNNNNNNNNNNNNNNNNNNNNNNNNNNNNNNNNNNNNNNNNNNNNNNNNNNNNNNNNNNNNNNNNNNNNNNNNNNNNNNNNNNNNNNNNNNNNNNNNNNNNNNNNNNNNNNNNNNNNNNNNNNNNNNNNNNNNNNNNNNNNNNNNNNNNNNNNNNNNNNNNNNNNNNNNNNNNNNNNNNNNNNNNNNNNNNNNNNNNNNNNNNNNNNNNNNNNNNNNNNNNNNNNNNNNNNNNNNNNNNNNNNNNNNNNNNNNNNNNNNNNNNNNNNNNNNNNNNNNNNNNNNNNNNNNNNNNNNNNNNNNNNNNNNNNNNNNNNNNGGAGGGAUGGGCCUACGCGGGCCCGCUACGGGCUCGGCAGGCCCCGGCGGCGGGAAGCCCGGGAGGCGACGUGGCGAGUUGUGGGUGGCUGAGGGAGGCGGCGACAGACAUGUCUGGCGCAUCACGGACGCGUCCGGCGCGCGGAGGAAAAAUAAGGCUAGGGUUAGGGAAGGGUUCAUCCGCGGAUUUCGGGGGAGGGUGUGUUUAUAUAGGUAGAGGGAGCUAGGAGAGUCCAAAUGAGGUGCGGUUUUCGGCCACGCGAUCGUGAUCGAACGUCCGAGAGCAUGGAGGGGGUUUGGAUGGGUUAUGGGCCACUUUGAAGGGGUGUUGGGCUGCAACACAAAGAGGGAUUUUACGGUUACCCGGUUAACCGUUGGAGUAUCAAACGACCUCCAAAUGGCACGAAACUUGACAGGCGGUCUACCGGUGCUAUACCAAGGCCGCUUAGCAAACCUCGGUUCAUUCUGAGAAAGUUUAACACCCGCUCACAACAGGAGACAAAAGGGGAACGCCGGAGGACAAAGGAGUGCCGGAUUGCAAAACGGACAACGGGGAAAAUGAUCGGAUGCAUGAGACAAACUUGUAUGCAAAAAGAGAUGCACAUGAUGACAUGAUAUGAAAUGCAUAUGCUGACAUGGCAAAGUGCAACACGAAGCAAAUGACAUGGCAACGACGGCGAAUAACUAGCAGACACCUGGCGCAUCAAAUCCGGGGCGUUACAUUAGGUUCCAGAGUUGUGCGGAUCGUGAGAUUCAGACAAAUGAGGAAUCAUGAAGAAAAACGUCACUUAGAGAAACAUAUCAAGAACUGAAGAUUUGUGCUAGGUGUUUAGAGUGUGGAGGUUGAAGAAUAAACACCUUUUGAAGAUUUGAUGAAAAUCAUCAAUAGAAUAAAUGCGGUAAAAGUAACUUUUAAUUACCCUUGAUGAAGAACACGACGAACAAGAGGUGUAGAUUUAGAACUUCCUCAGCUCGGAUCUUCCACGCCCUAAGUUGGCGGAGGAAGACGUCUACGGCGGCAGCGGACGGAAGAUUUCCGCGGCCGGCACUAGUACGAUGGUGAUGAGGUCGAGGCAGUGAAGAUCUUCCUCACCGGCGACGAUGGAGGUAGCAGCGGCGCUCGGGCUUGAGAAUCUCGAGCGAGGGAGUGAGGUCGAGCAGAGUAAAAGCGAAAUGAGGAAGGGAAGGGGGUAUUUAUAGCUGAGGUGAAAAACUGUUCGCCCGAAGAAUUUGGACGAACGUGCCCCUGACCCUUCUCAUUCGAGCGACAUGUGUCACCCAUGUACUGAGUGGUGGAGAUCGUGUGAGAUCGUGGGUGAAUAGAUAAGUAUACCAUGGAAUGUGUAAUGGUUUGAGCGGCAAAAGCCGAAAAUUCGGAUAAGAAUAUUUUAAAGUUUCAUUCGCAAUUUCUUCAGCUGAGAAGGACACAACGAAGAAUUUUAACGAGUUUCAAAUAGAAGCACAAGAAGAAUUUGUGAACAGACUGGAUUGAGUUUACCAUAGAGGGGGAAGGGUCCUAUCACAUUCACUUAGCAGAAAAGUCAACUUGAAGAAUUAGCAAUAAGUGAAUGAUGUAGAGGACAUAUAUAUAUAUACAUAUAUAUAUAUAUAGGGUGUGUCUAUGAUGAUAACACCCUUAAGAGUCUUAUUCUACCAACAAACGCGCUUAUUAUGAUAACACUUGUGAACUACUCCUUGUCAUUGAAUAGAACCCCAAGCCCAUGCUUGUUCCUCCCCAGGGCUCGUGCCCAAGCACCCACCCCCACCUUCUCCUUCCCCCUGGCCGCUCCACUAUCCUCUCCUACCUUCUUCCCACAGCCACCACACCACCUCCCGCUGAUGUACAGCUGGCCAAGCCGCCGCAGACGCCCUCCUUCCUCACCGCCGGUGCCCAAUCCACCACCUCCACCUUCUUCCCUACCCAGAGCCCCUCAACGCCGCCUCCUCAAACCUUCCACCGCCGCUCCUGAUGCGCCAUGCCCCCACCCCUCGCGCCUCCCCGGCAACGAAUCUAGCUAGAUCCAGCCCCCGCCACACUUCCCUCUCCAUGGCCCCCCAACACCCGACUACCAUCGCACGCCUCGUUCGUUCCCACGAGCAAUCCCCCUCCUCCCUUCCUUCUACUCCAUCAACGGUGCUCCUCCUUCUUGCUCCUCCCUGGUGACGUCCUGCUCUGCCGCGGCCGCUGGAUCCAGGCGGCGACCUCCUACUGCACUGCUGCUCCUACUGGCUGACCGCUGCGGCCCCACGCCGCCAGAUCCCAUCGAUCAGCCACCCUGUGCGGUGGCAGGACUGCUCCCCUGCAUGGCGGCCAUAGGAGGUUGAGGUGCCGCCCGUCAGCGAGCAGGACGUCGCCCCCAAUCCAGCCGGUUGAGGGGGCACGGGCACUGCAGUUCGCUCCACCCCUCACAUGCAUCUUCCCCUCACCUCAUUCUUCUGAUGGAAGAUCGAUCAUCAGCGCUGGAAGGAUUACGAAGAAAAAAACCUGCUGAUGCAUUUGCGAUCAAAAACUGCAGCUCGGUAGCUCGCCCUCUUGCAGUAUGGAUUCGGCGAUGGGUUCACACGCUGGUUCCCCCUCACAUGCGCGCAAUUCUUUUUCUCUUCAUUUUUGGGUUCAUUGGAGCCACUGUGCAGUUAGACUGGGUGUGCAGUGCUAUUCGGCAUGGCAUGCAGUGUUGUUCUGUAGGACGUGAAAUACAUGCAUGUGCUUCAUCGCAGUGAUACACACAUGGCCAGAAGGGACAAAGGAGGUGUUUUCAUGGGUGGAAGCCGAUGCCGUGACCAUGCAGUCCACAACGCGAUGUGUAAAAAUGUGUAGCGUGCAAACAAAAAAUGCAAUCCACUCACCUCGUUACCGCAGUACGUAUUUCAUUACUAACCAAAAAGAGUAUAUAUGCAGUGCGCUAUGGGGAAACCGAGGAAAAUGUAGUGCACUCUGGUCUUUAAAAAAGUCCACUCUAAAGGGGUUUGACGAACACUUCAUUUGGAAAAAAAUGUAUUUACAAAACGCUUACGUUGUGUGCGUUGGAGAAGUUUAAAAUACUAAAAAGAGUAGUGCGACUCACUUUCAAGAGUGCUUGUGGUUCACUUUGAAGCGUGUUGUGGUUCAUUCCAAAGGUAAAAUCGCAAAGGAAGUACAGAAAAAAAUGAUGCGCAAAUGACAAAAAAAAUAAUGGAGUUCACUUCUUGAUAGUGUUGCGGUUCCCUUACGCCCGACGUGAAGCGCGAUUCACUUGCUCGUCUCGGAAAAUUUACCUCCGACAAAAAAAACAUGAAGUUCACUUGCUCGACUUCUGCAGAGCGGUUUUCUGUACGGAGCAGUGCGCUUUUCUGUCUGAUGAAGUUCACUCGUCGAUUUGGGUGUCGCAAAAAACAGUGUCCGCGUUUCAGUAAAUUCAAAACUGCUCUUAAACCGUAAGGAAUUAGAGAGAGAGAGUGCUACAUGAAAAAUUUGUGCCUCAUUGAUAUCUUUCCAACGGCGUAUCAUGUGAAUCAUUCCGGCUAGCGUUUUGUAAAAAAAUCAUGAAAAACGGCAACUACCACUCGUUGUCCGCCGCACGAUUUUCAAAAUUAACUUAAAACCGUAAGAAAUCUAAAAAAUAUUUCAACAUAUGAAAGUUGUGCCUCGUCUGUAUCUUUCCAAAGGCAUAUCACACGCGUCGUUUCGACAAAUAGUUAAAAAACUGGAGUGAAAACAGUACCAAAAAAUUCAAAAAAAUUCAAAAACACAAUUCCGUGAUUUAGUAAAUUUCAAACUGCUCUUAAACCUUAAUGAAUUAGAGAAAAUAAUAGAUAUGAAAAAGAUGCACCUCGACGAUAUCUUUCCAAUGCUAUAUCAUUUGCUUCAUUCCGAUGAGCGGAUUAGAAGAAAACGCGAAAAAACGCUCGUUGACAUUCGUCAUGAGCCGCACAAUUUUCGAAACUGCUCUCAAACUAUGAUGAAUCUCGAAAAUUGUUCAACAUGGCGAAGUUGCGCCUAAUCCAUUGCUUCUCAUCGGUAUAUUAUACACGUCGUUUCGAUAGAUGGCUAAAAAACUAGAGCGAAAAUAGUACCAGAGAAACACAGUGUGCAGUUUUUUCCGACACGAAGUUCACUCGCCUGAGUACUGCAGCACACUUGGUUCAAACAAUGACGUGCACUUGCGUUGAACGUGCAGUGCGGAAGUGUUAUCAGAAUAGUUAUUCUGCUAAUAUUAGCAGAAUAGACUGGCUAAUAUUAGCAGAACAACGAUGGAAAGAGUGAAGACAAUGCAAAGUUGAAUAAUUUGGAAAACUGAGGAAUUUCAAAAAUGAAGAAAAACUCAAAUCAAAGAAUUUUCAACUUUGGUUGGUAGCGUAACCCACCGUAUAAGAAAGCUGAUUUCAGACAACGCGUACAAUUCUCGUAGGGUUCUGAGAAUCAGUUUCUUCAUUAAUUUCUUCACACUUAGAGGGUUAGUCUUCAUUGAUUGAAGAAAAAAUGUUACUUCGUUUGUUGCACAUCUCUUCUCAUCAAGUCAGCAUAAGUGUUAGGAUGUGCGUCCUUUUCAAAGAACAUUCGAAGAUUCUAGGUUAUUUAGCUCACACCACAACUUGCUAAAUCUCUUCUCAUCCAAGGGCUUUGUGAAGAGAUCGGCUAGUUGGUCUUCAAUACUUGCAUGGUCGAUUGAGAUGUCGCCCUUCAACACAUCGUCACGAAGAAAAUGAUGACGAAUCUGGAUGUACUUUGUCUUAAGAGUGCUGAACUAGGUUGUGUGCAAUCUUGAUGACACUCUCAUUGUCGCAGAAGAGUGGCAAAUUCUUCACGUUGAUGCCAUAGUCCUUGAGUGUUUGCUUCAUCCAUAGUAAUUGAGCACAACAAGAUCCAGCAGCAAUGUACUCAGCUUCUGCAGUGGAGAGUGAUACACAAUUUUGCUUCUUCGAGAACCAACAUACCAAGGAUCGUCCGAGGAAAUGACGUGUGCCUGACGUUGACUUGCGGUCCACCUGAUCGCCAACAUAGUCAGAGUCUGAAUAUCCAAUGAAAUCAAAGGAAGAGCCCUUGGGAUACCAUAAUUCAAGUGUUGGUGUGUGAGCUAGAUAUUGAAGAAUAUGCUUCACAGCCUUAUGGUGUGAUUCCUUCAGUGUAGCUUGAAAUCGGGCACACAUGCAAACACUAAGCAUAAUAUCCGGCCUAGAUGCACAUAGGUACAAUAAAGAGCCAAUCAUGGAGCGGUAUACCUUUUGAUCGAAGUCUUUACCAUUUUCAUCAGUGCAUAGAUGGCCAUUUGUGGGCAUAGGAAUUUUGACGCCUUUGCAAUCUUGCAUGCCGAAUUUCCUCAACACAUCCUUGAGGUAUUUCUCCUAAGAUAUGAAUAUGCCAUUGUAUUGUUCACGAAUUUGAAGACCUAAGAAGAAUUUCAAUUCUCCCAUCAUAGACAUUUGAUAUUCUUCACUCAUCAUAUAGGCAAAUUCAUCACUGUAAGGUUGGUUAGUACAGCCAAAGAUAAUAUCAUCAACAUAUAUUUGGCACAUGAAUAAUUCACCAUCAUAUGUUUUGGUGAAAAGAGUUGGGUCAAGUGAACUGGGUUUGAAGCCUUUCUUCAUGAAGAAUUCCUUCAGUGUGUCAUACGACGCCCGAGGUGCUUGCUUGAGGCCAUAGAGGGCCUUGUUGAGUCUGUAGACGUGAUCUAGAAAUUUUGGAUCCUCAAAACCUAGUCGUUGAGCAAUAUAUACGUGAGGCCAUUUUCGUCUUGUUUGUUGUGGUAGAUCCAUUUGGUACCGAUGAUGUUGUGCUUGUGUGGGUCCGGUCGCCUGACAAGCUCUGAGGGAGUCCUGGACUAGUGGGUGUCCGGACAGCCGGACUAUCAAUAUCCGCCGGACUCCCAGACUACGAAGAUAGAAGAUUGAAGGCUCCGGCUCGUGUCCGGAAGGUACUUUACUUGGCGUGGAAGGAAAGCUUGGCAAUACGGAUAUGUAGAUCUCCUACCAUUGUAACCGACUCUGUGUAACCCUAGCCUCUCCGGUGUCUAUAUAAACCGGAGGGCUGUAGUCCGUAGGACACAACAUUACACCUCAACAAUCAUACCAUAGGCUAGCUUCUAGGGUUUAGCCUGAUUGAUCUCGUGGUAGAUCUAGUCUUGUACUACCCAUAUCAUCAAUAUUAAUCAAGCAGGACGUAGGGUAUUACCUCCAUCGAGAGGGCCUGAACCUGGGUAAAAACCUCGUGUCCCUCGUCUCCUGUUACCAUCCGCCUAGACGCACAGUUCGGGACCCCCUACCCGAGAUCCGCCGGUUUUGACACCGACAUUGGUGCUUUCAUUGAGAGUUCCUCUGUGUCGUCACCGAUAGGCCCGAUGGCAUCUUCAAACUUCAAUGCUGUCCAGGGUGAGACUUUUCUCCCCGGACAGAUCUUCGUAUUCGGCGGCUUUGCACUGCGGGCCAAUUCUCUUGGCCAUCUGGAGCAGAUCGAAAGCUACGCCCCUGGCCGUCAGGUCAGAUUCGGAAGCCUAAACUUCACGGCCGAUGACCGCGGAGACUUGAUCUUCGACGGACUCGAGCCACAGCCAAGCGCGCCGCACUGUGACGAUGGGCAUGAUCUAGCUCUGCCGCCGGACAGUGCUUUGGUGGCCGCACUUGAAAUCGCCCCGGCUACUUGCCCGGAGCCGAUCGCCCACAACGAGGGUCGGUGGAUAGACGCCGCCCCGGGGGCUUCAACAUCUACGGCGAUGGAGCCGAAUACCAAUCUUGUCCCCCGCGAAACUCAUGAUCCCGAGGCGCCGGACUCCUUGCCGGACUCCGAGCCUCCCGCGCCCCUGCCAAUUAAGCCAGAUUGGGCGCCGGUUAUGGAAUUCACCGCCGCGGACAUCUUUCAACACUCGCCUUUUGGCGAUAUCUUGAAUUCUCUGAAGCAUCUCUCGCUAUCAGGAGAAUCCUGGCCGGACUAUGGCCAGGACGGUUGGAGUUCGGACGACGAAGAAAUUCGGAGCCCACCCACCACCCACUUUGUAGCCACUGUCGAGGAUCUAAUCGACAUGCUAGACUACGACUCCGAGGACAUCGACGCUAUGGACGAUGAUGCCGGAGACGAUCAGGACCCAGCGCCCACGGGACACUGGAAGGCCACCUCGUCAUACGAUGUCUACAUGGUGGAUACCCCAAAAGAAGGGGAUGGCGAGAAAGCAGCGGAGGAAGAUUCUCUAAAGAAGCAACCCAAGCGCCGACGGCGCCGCUCUAAAUCCCGCCACAACAAGAAUGGAGAAUCCGGCACGGGAGAUAAUAACACUCCGGAGAGUGCCGAAGACAAACCCCUCCAGCAAGACUCAGCGAAGGAGGAUGUAGAAGCAAGCCCUUACGAAAGGGCGGCAGAAGAAAAGGUUGAGGAUCACAACUAUGUACCUCCCUCCGAGGACGAAUCAAGCCCCGAUGACGACGAACUCGAAAAGCCCGUCGAACAAGAUCUUUGCAAACGCAGGCUCAUCGCUACAGCAAGAAGCCUGAAGGAGGAAAAGCGGAAGCUCAACACAGCGGAAGACGCGCUCCGGAUAAAAUGGAGCAAAGUGCUCAAAACAACAGACAAACAAGGCAACAGCCACCAACCGAAGAGCUACCCGAAGCGCAAGCUGCUCCCAGAAUUCAACGAAGAGGCCAUAAAGCCCCCACCGUCCAAUGGCCCAGCCAGGUCCAUCUAUGGGCCCAAAAGGAAAGCCCCAAUAAGCAAAGGAACACGUCAAGUGUCCGACGAUAGCGGCACGUACAAGUACAGGGGCGCCGCACACCCACUAUGCUUCACAGACGAAGUGCUGGAACAUGAAUUCCCAGUAGGGUUUAAACCCAUCAACAUAGAAGCCUACGAUGGAACAACAGACCCUGGAGUCUGGAUAGAAGACUAUAUAUUACAUAUACAUAUGGCCAGAGGAGAUGAUCUCCACGCCAUAAAAUAUCUACCCCUCAAACUCAAAGGGCCAGCUCGUCAUUGGCUCAAAAGCCUCCCAGAAAACACUGUUGGAAGUUGGGAAGAGCUCGAGGAAGCGUUUAGAGCAAACUUUCAAGGGACUUAUGUCCGGCCUCCGGACGCAGACGACCUAAGUCACAUAACUCAACAGCACGGAGAGUCAGCGCGGAAAUUCUGGAACAGGUUCCUUACCAAAAAGAACCAAAUAGUCGACUGUCCGGACGCCGAAGCCUUAGCAGCUUUUAAGCACACUGUCCGAGACGAAUGGCUCGCCAGACACCUCGGUCAAGAGAAACCGAGGACAAUGACCGCAUUAACAAGCCUCAUGACCCGCUUUUGCGCAGGAGAGGACAGCUGGUUGGCAAGAAGCAGCACCAGCGACCCAAGUACAUCCGAGAUAAGAGAUGGAAACGGAAAAUCACGACGCAGAGAAGAUCAGCGCCGGAACAAAGAGAAAAGCCCAAAGAGCACGGCAGUCAACGCCGGAUUUAAAAGCUCACGGCCGAAUAAUAAAUCUCAACCCAUCAAGGACGACAGCGACGAACUGUCUAACCUACACAAAAUCCUGGGUCGGAUCUGUCAAAUCCACAGUACCCCCGGAAGGCCUGCAAAUCACACCCACAGGGAUUGUUGGGUUUUCAAACAGUCCGGCCGACUAAACGCCGAACGCAAGGGGCUCGACGCGUCAAGCGAAGAAGAUAAACCCCGCCAGCAGGGCACCAGAAAACAAAAGACUUUCCCACAAGGGGUCAAAGCAGUAAACUCACUUCAUGUGAAGAUACGGAAAAACAGUGCGGCACUUUCUAAAAAGAGCUUCGCACGGUCCGGCCCCGCAAACCAUAGAGAUUCGAUAUCAAAACCAAUCACUUUCGACCACCAGGAUUAUUCCAAAAGUGUUCGAACCGCGGGACGAACUCCCCUGAUAUUGAAUCCGAUAAUAGACGGACUACAAUUCACAAACAUCCUAAUGGACGAAGGCAGUGACUUAAACCUGCUAUAUUCAAAUACAAUCCGUCGGAUGGGGAUAGACCCUACCAAAAUUCGACACAGCCGCACUUCCUUCAAAGGAGUUACGCCCGGCCCUUACGCCAAGUGCACAGGCUCGAUAUUACUCGAAGUCGUGUUCGGAUCACCGAACAAUUUCCGACGAGAAAAGUUAAUUUUCCAUAUCGUCCCAUUUAAAAGUGAACAUCAAGCACUAUUAGGACGAAAGGCUUUUGUCCGCUUCAAUGCCAUACCGCAUUACGCAUCUCUUACACUUAAGAUGCCCGGUCCACAUGGCACUAUUUCAGUGCGAGGGUCACUUCAAGCCCCCGGACUCGGAUAGACGAAUCCGGACUCAGCAGGCUAGGGGCUCCCUAGCCGCAUACCCUUUCACAAGGGGCUGCGCGCACAAUUAACAUCGGUUUCAUAUAAACCUAGCCUUAAUUAUUUACGCUUAUUCUUUUGCAUUAUUUUCGCAAGAACUGUUUUUGAAAUGUUCCUCUCUUUUCUACAGAUGAGCAACGUGCGUACCCGUCCAGGAUAACGGCACAACGGAGACACAGGCACAGACGUGCAGUAGGGACCCGUCGCAAGGAUUCUUUUCAGAUUAAGACCCUACGUAGACCUUUUUAUUACUGUCUCUUGUUGCUAAAUCGGCCUCGGCUUCUUCCUAUAGCCGAGGCGGAGCCUGACAAUUUGGCAUUGGCCGCUUCAGAAGACAAUGCCCGUACCUGGACACAAGGGGCUUACGAUAUAAUUCUGCCCGUUAUCAUAAAGUCCGAACACCUCAGGGAGUGUUCGGCGUCUCAAGUUGGGCACUAUAUGCAUCAGCUCCGAAUCAUGUCUUUGGUCAAAUGUUGGGUUUGCCCGGCUCCUAUGUUUUGCUGCCUUACGUUCCGUAUCACCCGGCUAACGCGGCACCAGGAGAACUACUGCGAUUGUGCCCCAGUUCGGCUGGGUGAGCACCUCAGUAGAGAAAGCCGAAAACUGACUGUCAUGAUAUAGCGAGAGUCUGGUCAGCCACUUGAUCGACUACGGAAUGUUUAGAAUUCCCCGCUUUGACGAAGGGCCGCUUCCCGGUCAGGCACAUACGCACCCCGAAUCCGGAGAUGUGCGGUGCCAUUAGGGGCUAUGUCGUAGCCCCACCCUCGAGCUCCAUUGGCUAAGUGAAAGAGAUAAAGCAUUAUAGUCCGGAUUGCCUCGUUCGCUACGCUACCACGUCCUUAUAACAGGACCGAGACGUCGGAUUAAAGUGUGAAAAAGCGCUAUUUUGCGAACACCCCAGCACCUUGUUCAAGGGGGCUGAAGCCGAAGACUGCAUCUUUCAGGUUAUACACAAGUAUACUUAAAACGGCCGCAAUGAGAAGUACUACUACUUGGAAGCACAAGUAUAAAAAGCAUUCACACUAUAAUCAUUCAUAAACAAGUUAAUGCGUUCAAUUGAACGUUACAUUCUUCGAGCACUGCGACUCUAUUAUACGAGCGCCGCGCAUAACUUCCCCGAAAUAAUGUUUGGCAGGAAGCCGGUUCCCAUCCGAACCCUGGGCAGCAACAGCGGUGGCAUCCAUCUCCAGACACUGCGCCUUUACACGGGCCAGAGCCAUCCGCGCGCCCUCUAUGCAGGCCGACCGCUUCAUCUCCUUGAUAUGCGGCACCGCCCCAAGGAACUGCUGCAGUAGGCCAAAAUAGAUUGUCGCCUUGGACCUCUCUGGCCACACAUGGGCCACGAUGUCAGUCAUAGCCAGCCCGGACAGUCUAUUCAGUUCGGCCCAUUCGGCCAACCUGUCCGACAGCGGAAGAGGGCGAUCCGGACUGUGGAAUUGAGUCCAAUAUAACUCUUCCACCUCAUGAUCCCCCUGGCUUCGGAAGUGCUUAACGGCGUCAGCCGCACUCACAGCCAAGUCCAUGUAAGGAUCCUCCGAACUCCACUGCUUUUCAAAUUGGGCAUACCUGGCAUCCAUAAACCGGCGACGCAUAAGAAACGGCCUGCCAGCCGUGAUUUCUCCGGCUUGGCGCAGCUCCUCCUUCAUAGCCCGCAUUGCAGAGCGGGCAUCCUUGGUCUCGGCGGUGGCCUUCCUCAGGUCUUCCCGCUCCAAUAGGCGCUCCUUUUCAAGAGCCUCGCUACGGUUGGUAGCAUCCUUUAACUUUUUGGCCAAUCCGGCCACCUCCGCCCUGCUUAGGCAGUGCGCAGCCUUUUCGGCCUUCAACUCCUCGGCCGCCCUCGCGGCAGCCGCAUCACUCCUUCGGGCUUGCUCCUUGGCUUGUGCAAGCUCGGCCCGAAGUCUCUCCACAGCAGCAGCACUGUCUGUAUAAACAGCAUAUCACUUAUCAGAGGAGGGCUUUAACCCACUCAAUAAAGCGGCUAUGGAGAAUUUAUUUACCUUACGACUCGUCAAGUUGCUGAUUGACAAGUGCUAUGUUAACAUCUGCCAUGUCCAGUUGCCGACUAAGUUCGGCAAACUGAUUAGUCCGGCUGGCCCCCGGACUAUCCGCCACCUGUAUCAGCACGGCGAUAUUUAUUACCUAAGAUAUUUAGAUUUUCGAUCCUCGGCACGCUGUCGUCUUCGACAACCUACCGAGUCUCAGGGGCUACUAUCUAUACAGGGCGCAUCUUUUAUAUGCACAACUGUUAAAAAGCAAAGGGGUACGCUAUUUUCGCAUACCUCAAAUCCCGCCAGCAAGCUCAUGGCAGCAUCACGCAAUCCGCUUUCAGCGGACGAAAUCCUUCCAACAACCGUACGCAUUAACGCGCGGUGAUCUUCUGAAAUGGACGCCCUCUCAAGCAAACUAUUUAGUUCUCCCGGCCGGGCUCUGGUGGGUGUUGAACUCUUCGACCCCUCCGGACUCGGGGACACCCUCCGUGACGACACUUCGGGCUCGCCUGCCUCAUCUGGCGGCGCGUCGGACGGAGGCGUAUCGCUCUCCAUCAUCUCCGGAAGAAGAUCCCCCGAGGACGAACUCAUUUGAGACGGCUGCAGAUCCGAACUGCGAUAUAAAUAUUUCGGUUACCUACAGAAGCAUAAACGAAGGUACCUUUUUAUUAAACUUCCUCUUUCAUACUCACGGCUCGUUGGAGGGCUGGUCCUUGGGCGAUGACUGCGCGUCCGGAUUCUCUCCGGACGCCGGCCACCCCGGUGAGGAUUUCUUCCCACGCUUGGGGGCUUUGACCUCCGGAUCUUCGGGGGCGGCCCUCUUUUCCCUCUUAAGGGAGGGAUCCUUGGUCCUCUCCUCUUCGGUCGCCUCUUUGGACGAAGUAUUAGCUCCUUUAUCUCCCCCAUCGCCCCCUUCUGUGGGUGCGGCCUCCAACAUUCUGACCAGCACGGGCUCCAGUGCGGUCUCUGGGAGGGGGGCCGGACACCUUAUCAGCCUUGAUCGCGCCACCCAUUCCUGUAAAGAAUAAAAAGGGUUAAGAGAUGAUCUUUUGAAAGGCAUACAAGCAGGAUGUCCGGGCUUUGAGCUAUUUACCUGAGUAUCCGGACGAUCGCGGCUUAGUCCCGCAUCCUCGGCCGAAUCCGGACAUGCCACUUGCGGUCCGAAGAACAGCUCGUACAUCUCCAAGGGUGUCGCGCCCAUGAAAUGCUGGAGGAUACGAGGUCCCUCCGGAUUGAACUCCCAUAAACGGAGAGGACGACGUUUGCAGGGUAGGAGGUGCCUAGUUAGCAUGACCUGCAUCACCUUGACCAGAUCGAUCUCCCUUGUUUGGAGGUCCCGAAUCCGGCCCUGCAGUUCGGGCACGUCCUUGGACGGCCCCCAGUUGAGCCCUUGGUUGACCCACGACAUCAGUUGCUGUGGAGGUCCCGGGCGGAAGGAGGGCGGCGGCUUUUGCUUGCUGCCCCUUGGAGCGGUGAUGUAGAACCACUCCUGCUGCCACAAUCCCUGUUCCUCUUGGAAGGAACCUUCGAGCCACGGGGCAUCGACCAUCUUGCUUAUGGUCGCCCCGCCACACUCCGCUCGACGCCCCCCGAUCAUCUUCGGCUCAACCUUGAAUGUUUUCAGCCACAGGCCGAAGUGGGGGAUGACGCAGAGGAAGGCUUCGCAGACAAUAAUGAAUGCGGAGAUAUGGAGGAUGGACUCCGGAGCCAAGUCGUGAAAGUCCAGCCCGUAGAAGAACAGAAGCCCCCUCACGAAAGGAUCGGUCGGGAAGCCUAAUCCCCGACGGAGGUGAGAUGCGAAAACGACACAUUCGCCGGGCUCGGGGGCUGGCACGGCCUGCCCAGGGGCAGGUAACCUGUGCGAGACAUCGUAGGCCAGGUACUUGGCCUCACGCAACUUCAAUAUGUCCUCCUCCGUGACGGAGGAGGGCACCCACCGGCCCUGGAGGUUGGAGCCGGACAUUGCUGUGGAUCCGAAGCGCUCGAGUCUGAAGCUCUUGGUGUUGGAACUAGGAGCAGAGGAAAGAUUCGAUGCGAGGUUAAAAGACAAGGACAGACCUUGGUCCUCUUAUAAAGGGAAAUAAUACCAAGGGCCGUCUCCGUGACCAUUUGAGAUUCCCCUUCGAUAGAGGAGGCGUGGCGAUGGGAACGGUUGGGUUACCCACGCACGUAUUGAUGAGGAUCCCGGAAUAAAAGGGAACACGAUCUCUGCUUCGACAGGACGUGCCAAGAAAGCCGCUUCGCUAAACGUGCUGAGGUGGAAUAGUAAAAACAAUUAAAACGAGGGCUUGGCUGCGGCGUGAUGUCAUGCCGCAUAAUACGUCAGCAGAUUGGAUCGGUGUAUAUGUUUUAUUCUCUCUAUGUUGGAAUGUGGAAAUUAUUUUGCAGAGUCGGACACUAUCCUGGUGUUCAUUAUCUUCUCUGGAUUAUUCAAGGGAGGAACCCGCCUUGCAAUGCCGAACAUUAUGCACGCCGAACUUAUCGUCAUUGAAGACUGGUUCAGGGGCUACUGAGGGAGUCCUGGACUAGGGGGUGUCCGGACAGCCAGACUAUCAAUAUCCGCCAGACUCCCAGACUACGAAGAUAGAAGAUUGAAGGCUCCGGCUCGUGUCCGAAGGUACUUUACUUGGCGUGGAAGGCAAGCUUGGCAAUACGGAUAUGUAGAUCUCCUACCAUUGUAACCGACUCUGUGUAACCCUAGCCUCUCCGGUGUCUAUAUAAACCGGAGGGCUGUAGUCCGUAGGACACAACAUUACACCUCAACAAUCAUACCAUAGGCUAGCUUCUAGGGUUUAGCCUCAUUGAUCUCGUGGUAGAUCUACUCUUGUACUACCCAUAUCAUCAAUAUUAAUCAAGCAGGACGUAGGGUAUUACCUCCAUCGAGAGGGCCUGAACCUGGGUAAAAACCUCGUGUCCCUCGUCUCCUGUUACCAUCCGCCUAGACGCACAGUUUGGGACCCCCUACCCGAGAUCCGCCGGUUUUGACACCGACAAGCUCCCACACAUUGUUGAGCUCGAAUUGAUGCAAUUCAUCUUGCAUGGCUUGAAUCCACUCAAAUUCCAUGAAUGCUUCAUCUACUUUAGUGGGCUCUGUGAUAGAGACAAAUGCAAAAUGCCCACAAAAGUCAGAUAAAUGUGAAGCUUUUGAGCGCGUGAGGGGACCUGGUGCACGAAUGUCAUCAUUGAUCUUCUUGAUCUGCACUUCAUUUGCUAUGCGAGGAUGUGCGGGUUGACGACUUUGCUUAGGCCCAGCAGUUUCUUCAGGACCAGUUUCUUCAGUAGCACCAACAUGAUUUUCUUCACGAUCAGGAAUGACUUCUUCUGCAGAUUUUUUGGUAGGGAUGACAUCCUCAGUAGCUUUGAACCUGAUGGAUUCCUCAGGUGACAUUUCAUCUAGCACAGGAGGUAGAUGCUCUCUUUGCGAGCCAUUAGUUUCACCAAACUGCACAUCUACAGUUUCAACAACCUUGUGAUGAUUGACGUUGAAGACUCUGUAGGUGUGCGAGUCCUUUCCGUAACCAAGCAUAAAACCCUCAUGUGCUUUCGGUGCAAAUUUAGAGUGAUGGUGAGGAUCUCUAAUCCAACAUUUAGCACCGAAGACUUUGAAAUAACUUACAUUGGGUUUCUAGUCAGUGAGGAGUUCAUAUGAGGUCUUUUUGAAGAAUUUGUGAAGGUAUACUCUGUUGAUGAUGUGGCACGCAGUAUCAAUUGCUUCAGACUAGAAAUGCUGAGGCAUCUUGUAUUCAUCAAGCAUAGUGCGGGCCAUCUCAACAAGAGUCCUAUUCUUGCGCUCCACAAUGCCAUUCCGCUGAGGAGUAUAAGGAGCAGACAAUUCGUGAGUAAUACCAAGCAUAUCGAGAUAUUCAUGGAGGCCAGUGUUCUUGAACUUAGUUCCAUUAUCACUCCUGAUAUGCUUGAUCUUCACACCGAAGUUAGUGGAAGCCCUUCAGGAAAAUUGUCUGAAGACUUCAUGCACUUCAUUUUUGUAAGUGAUGAUAUGCACCCAUGUGUAAGGAGAAUAGUCAUCAACUAUGACAAAGCCAUAUAAUGAUGCAGAACUAGUGAACGUGGCAAAAUGAGUAGGGCCAAAUAGAUCCAUAUGAAGUAAUUCAAAGGGACGAGAAGUGGUCAUGAUAGUCUUCAAGGGAUGCUUGGCUCUGGUGAUCUUUCCAGCCUCACAAGCCCCACAAAGAUGAUCUUUGAGGAAUUUGACACCUUCGAUGCCAAUGACGUGUUUCUUCUUCGCGAGUGUAUGCAAGUUCCUCAUCCCAGCAUGACCAAGUCGUCGAUGCCAUAACCAGCAUUCUGAAUCUUUUGCAAGUAGACAUGUGGCAGGUUGUGGUCCUGCAGAGAAAUCAACAAUAUACAAGUCUCCUUUCCUAAAGCCUUCAAAGACUUUGGAGUUGUCUGAUUCCAUUAGCAUAAGGCAACGAAAUUUGCCAAAGACAACAACCAUAUCAAGAUCACAAAGCAUUGAGACAGACAUAAGAUUGAAUCCUAAGGACUCAACAAGCAUGACCUUGUCCAUGUGUUUAUCCUUUGAGAUUGCAACCUUACCUAGACCCAAUACCUUGCUUUUGCCUUUGUCAGCGUAGGUGAUAUGCUUCAGAUGAGAUGGUGACAAAUCAGUGUCCAUCAACAAGCUCCCGUCACCAGUCAUGUGAUUUGUACAUCCACUGUCGAGGACCCCCUCAGUAGCUUUGGGUUGUUCAUCCUGCAGAUGAAUUAGUGCAACUUACGAACCCAUAUACUUCAUCAGUGAAGAAUAUGAUAUCAAUUUCAUCAACAAUAACAGAUAUAGCAAUAUGAGGAUGUGAGAAAUGAAUGAUUCAUUUCUUCAUGAUUAGCUUGCGUCCUUUCAAGCGCAUUCAGGUCUCCAGCAAAUUCUUUAGACGAGUAUGUUCGUUUGGACACCUAACCCUGCAUAAGAGAUUAGUUCUUUUUCUUCACCACCCACAUCUGGAGGGGUGGCAAAGAGUUCAUCCUUCUGCGAGAUCCAUGAGAAAACGAUGGCAUUAAAGCCAGUGCACUUCGUUUCAUAGAAGAGUGGUUAGGACAAGCAUAUGCAUAAGAAGAAAAAUUCUUCGAGGACAUAUGAACAUAAUGGUCCGAAGAAUAAUGCACAUAAUCAUAGCCUUUAGAAUUUCCCUGCGAAACAGAAGUGUUAGCAAGAUGAUGUUCAUAUGAGGAUUUUGAUCCACAUGAGGAAUUUGAUCUGGGGUUCCUAUCCUUCAUGGGUGGUGUCAUGAUGACAUUCACCUGAAGAUUUUCAAGGCACCUUUUAGGAACCCAGAUUUUCUUCAUAGGGGGACCGUUCCUACAGUUAGUUCCAACGUAUCUAGCAAAUACUUCACCAUUCUAAUUCUUAAACAACUUAUAGUUGGAGUCAAAUGACUCAUCAGAGGAAUAUGAAGAAUCAUAGGUAAAGCCAGAUAAAGUGCAUGGAUCUACUGGAGGUCCUUUCGCAGCAACCCAUGAAGUUUUGGGAUACUGCUCAGGUUUCCAGUAGGUCCCAUCAGCAUUGAGUUUCCUCUCAAAGGCAAUACCCUCUUUCCUAGGGUUCCUGUUCAAGAUCUGCUUUUUGAGCACAUCACAUAGAGUCUGAUGCCCUUUGAGGCUUUUGUAAAUCAUGUCACAUACAAUUCCUUCAGCCCUGCAUUAUCGUCGAUGAUACAUGUGGUAUCCUCAGAUGAGGAAUUUGUAACCACAAAGAAAGUUGAAGAAUUUGCAGCAAUAGAAGCAUUUGAACAUUCAGGUGAUGAAUUAGCAGAUUCACGCACAAUGCAUUUCAGACAUGGUGGAAUAAAUUCUUCCUGAGCGGAACUGAUUUGUUGAGCAAGCAAUGAAUCAUUUUCCUUCUGAAGAUCUUCAUAACUCGCUUUUAAGUUCUCAAGAUCUUGCUUUCUCUGAAGAAAUUCGUAAGAAAGCUUCUCAUGAUCAGUUAAGAGAGUGUUAUGAUGAUUUUGAAGGUUGUCAAACCGAGUUUUAAGUCUCUGAAGAUUAUCUGUCAGAGUCUUAGUUCGAUUCAAUUCCUCACCCAAUAGGUCAUCGCUUUUGUCUAGUUGAUUUUAAAUCUUUUCUAAAGCCUUCUGUUGUUUAACAAUAAUUUUUGCAAGUUUUGAAUAGCUACGCUUAAGAUUGUCAUCAGAUUCAUCCUCACUAGAGUCAGCGGGGGGAUGUUUGAGUACCUUGGAACCUUUUGCCAUGAAGCAAUAAGUGGGAGCAUAGUCAUCGUUGCCCUUGUCAGCAGAGGCGGGGAAGUUAUUUUCUUCAAUGCUGAAGAUGGACUUGCUGACGUAAGCAGUAGCAAGGGCUAGGCUAGCCACACCAGAGGCAGAUUCCUCAGAUUCCUCCUCUUCCACAUUAUCCCUAGAUUCCGCUUCAGAGUCCAUUUCCUUGCCAUUAAAUGCCCGGGCCUUCUUGGAACUUCUCUUCUAGUGAGAUGAAGACUUUGAGGAUUUUGAUGAUGAAGACUUUGAAGAUUUCUUCUUCUUCUUUGAGUCAUCAGAAUCGUCAUCUUUGUACUUCUUCUUCUGUGAUUCCUUCUCCCAUAGAGGACAAUCAGACAUGUAGUGACCAGGUUUCUUGCAUUUGUGGAAAGUUCUCUUUUUGUAGUCACGUGACGAGGAAUCAUCAUUUCUUGAAGACUUUCUAAAACGGCCGCGGCGAGAGAACUUCUAGAAUUCCCUCACAAGCAUUGCUAGCUCCUGGCUCAAUUCUUCAGGAUCACCAAGGCUGCUACCAGAAUCCUCAGCUUCGGACUCAGAUACUGCCUUGGCCUUCAGUGCACGUGAUCUUUCGUAGCUAGGUCCAUAGAGAUCUCUCUUCUCAGCAAGCUGGAACUCGUGAGUGUUUAGCCUCUCAAGGAUAUCAGCGGGAUCAAGUGACUUGUAAUCAGCUCGUUCUUGAAUCAUCAGUGUGAGGGUAUCAAAUGAGGUGUCAAAUGAUCUCAGCAAUUUCUUCAUCACCUCAUGAUCGAUGAUAUCAGUGGCACCAAGUGCUUGAAGCUCAUUUGAGAUGUCAGUGAGGUGAUCGAAGGUUUGCUGAACAUUUUCUUUGUCGAGUCUUUUGAAGCGGUUGAAGAGAUUGCGAAGAACAUCAACUCGGGAGUCACGUUGGGUUGAGACUCCUUCGUUAACCUUGGACAGCCUGUCCCAAAUCAGCUUAGCAGUUUCUAGUGCACUCACUUUGCCGUACUGACCUUUGCUCAGAUGGCCACAUAUGAUAUUCUUCGCUUGAGAAUCGAGUUGCUUGAAUCUCUUCACAUCAGUAGCAUUCAGAGACGGAGUGACUGAGGGAACGCCAUUUUCCACAAUGUACCAGAGAUCGUUAUCAAUUGCCUCAAGAUGCAUACGCAUCUUAUUCUUCUAGUAGGGGUAGUCCGUCCCGUCAAAGGCAGGACACCCAGCUGAGACCUUGAUCAUACCUGCAGUCGACAUAACUAAAACUCUAGGUGGUUAAACCAAAAUCACACGGAACAAGGGAGUACCUUGCUCUGAUACCAAUUAAAAGUGUGUUACAUCGACUAGAGGGGGGUGAAUAGGCGAUUUUUAUGAAUUCUUCACUAAGGAAUUUCAGGGUGAGGAAAUUCCUAAGCGAAGAACUACUUGCAGCGGAAUAAGUACUCAGGUAUAAGCAUAACAAAGUAACAGCAUAGUCAUCAUGAUGAAAUGAAAGACAAACACUGAGUACAGAAAGCGUAAACACAUGAUAAGCAGGAUGAAGACAAAACAGACUGAAGAAAUAGGAUUGAGGAAUUAGAGAAAGUCUUCAGUCAAAGUCUUCAAACAGUAAUGAUCGGGUUCAUCAACACAUAACUGAGGAAAUGAAAGAGUUGAGGAAAUAGAACCAGUUAGCUUGGUGAAGACAAUGAUUUGGUAGACCAGUUCCAACUAUUGUGACAGUUGUACAUCUGGUUGGAGCGGCUGAGUAUUUAAACUAGAGGACACACAGUCCUCACCGUAUUCUCCUUGAGCUAAGAUCACAUAGACCUCACCUAAUAGUAGUGGUAAGUCUUCACAGGUGACUUCCAAACCUUCACAGACUUGGUCACUUGGCAAUCCACAAUUCCUCUUUGAUGCUCAGACCAUGACGCCUAACCAACUGGAGGAUACACAGUCCUCAAAGGUAACAAGCGUCGGUUCCACACAGGAACAAUCUCUUCAGUAUUGCUCAAUCACUUUGUGGUUUGUAGGUUUGGGUUUGGGAUUUGGGUUUUCCUCACUUGAUGUUUUUCGCUCAAAGUCCUCGGAGGAUGGGAUGCUCUCAAAUGACAAGUGUCAGUUUCUCCUGGAGCAGCCAACCAGCUAGUGGUUGUAGGGGGCAGCUAUUUAUAGCCUAGGGAGCAGCCCGGCAUGAUAAGACAUAAAUGCCCUUGGCUGAUAUGACCGUUAGGCUCAGCAACGGUCGGAUAUUUGAGGUUUGAAUUCCUCAAGGAUAUCAUGUUCCUCACUGUGUAGGCAAUCUGCACUGGCGAAUUCUUAACUCCUCUGUCAGAACAAAUUCCUCAGAGACCAGAAGAUCUUCGUCUCUGUCACUAAAGAAAUUGACUGAACUGAUAUGAGAUUUCCAAUGGCUUCACUCGAAGGAUUGGGUUAGGAUUUUGAGAUGAGCAUCACUUGGAAAUUAGUUUCCUUAGUAUUACCUCGACCCCCUUUAACAGUAUGGUGUUUCCUAUGACUCAAGAAAGAGAAAAUGAAACUACGAAAACAAAAGUCUUCACGCUUCAGAUUCCUCGCAUGAAUAUCAAAGUCUUGAAGGUCACACCAAUUUCUUCACUUUCAAAGUCUUCAGGAGAACCAAAGUCUUCAGCCGAAGACAUUCAUUUUUAUGGGUCGACUUUCACUGUUAAUAUCAAACUCCUCAUUGACUUAUAGAGCCUGUGUACACUCACAAACAUAUCAGUCCCUUAACCUAUAAGUCUUCAAUACACCAAAAUCACUAAGGGACACUAGAUGCACUUACACUCUCGUACACGCACGCACGUGGGUGUGACGCGUUGGGCUCUAAUUGAACCCGAGCGAGGCCUUCGCCUACUGAACCCGAGCGAUUGCACUGCAGGCUACGCAUUACUGAAGCGAUUGAUCGAUGGCUAUUAACUGAACCUGAUCGAGCGAUUCCUUCCCUAUUGCUGCUAACUGAAGCCGAUCGAUGUUGCCUCUGGAUGAACAGUGAGCGUUNNNNNNNNNNNNNNNNNNNNNNNNNNNNNNNNNNNNNNNNNNNNNNNNNNNNNNNNNNNNNNNNNNNNNNNNNNNNNNNNNNNNNNNNNNNNNNNNNNNNNNNNNNNNNNNNNNNNNNNNNNNNNNNNNNNNNNNNNNNNNNNNNNNNNNNNNNNNNNNNNNNNNNNNNNNNNNNNNNNNNNNNNNNNNNNNNNNNNNNNNNNNNNNNNNNNNNNNNNNNNNNNNNNNNNNNNNNNNNNNNNNNNNNNNNNNNNNNNNNNNNNNNNNNNNNNNNNNNNNNNNNNNNNNNNNNNNNNNNNNNNNNNNNNNAGCCGGUUGGGGUGGAUGAACAGGACCCCAUGGAGGGCUGGAUGAACAGGACGACCCUGUGGAGGGCUGGUUGAACAGUAGCUAGUGGAGGGCUAGAUGAACAAUAGCCCAUGGAGGGGUGGUCGAGCAGGACCCCGUGGAGAGGGCUGGUUGAACAGUAGCCGGAGGAGGAGCGCACGGUGGAGGCUGGAUGAACAAGAGCCCGUGGACGAAUAGUCGCAGGUGGAGGCUGGAGGAGGUCGACGGUGGAUGAACAGUAGCCCAUGGAGGCUGGAGGAGGUCGAUGGUGGAGAUGAACAGUAUCCCGUGGAGUCCCGUUUUGGGGUACGCCACACCCCUCCCGAUGAACAGGACCCCCGUUUCGACCGUAGCGCUCCAACACAAGUCUGUUUCCUCCAUUUUGCGGUACGCCACACCCCUCCCGAUCAACAUGACCCCGUUUCGACCGUAGGAGGUCCAACAAAAGUACGUUUCCUCCGUUUUGCGGUACGCCAGACCCCUCCCGAUGAAUAGAAUCCCGUUUCGAUCGUGGCCGGUCGAACACAAGGUCGUUUCCUCUAUUUUGCAGUACGCCAGGCCUCGUUUCCAUCGGUUGUUUUGUCCAAGCCCUCCCGAUGAACACGACAACGCAUUUCGUUCCGACCCAGUCGGUUGGCUCCCCAUGAACACGACGAUGACGCAACUUCUCCGUUCUGACCCAGCCAUGUACACAAGCUCUGGCCGUACGUAUGCGUGAGUAGGCAUUCGAGACCCCACCCGUAUGUACGUACGUGACUGUAUUUUCUUUCUUGCACCUCGGCCGCUGUACAUACGUGUACAUGCUACGUGCGUGCCUAACUACAACACGUGUGCGCCUCUACUACGACACGUGCGCGCCUCUACAUCGACCAGUAUGUAUGUACACGUUCGCGACCAGAAUGACAACGGCACGUACGCUUCGACCAGGUGGGUCUCGACUGUCGGGCACUUCCUUGCGUGCAAAGAUGUAGCUGGUGGGUCCCAGCAGUCAGGGGGCGAAUCGUUUUUUUGCCCGUAAUAUGGACGCACUUCCUCACGUGCGAAGAUGUAGCUGGUGGGUCCCAGAAGACAGGGGGGAAAUGUUUUUUCGCGAAGUACGGUGGACCAUCCGGUGGGUCCCUGCUGUCAGUUGGAGGAAUCAUUAUUUUGCAUGUAAUAAGGAGGCACUUCCUUGCUGCGGCCGUGGACCCCAUUGUCAGCCUCUCCACGUACAGUACUCUUCCGAUGGAAGUCGUUCCUUGACCACAUUGACCAUGCCGCGCUGAGAGCACCAGGGCGGUGGACGACGGUGAGGCAUAUGAAGGGGACGACGCGGAGCUGGGGAAGAUGCGACAGUGGAAGCCCGCAUGGAGAGGUGUACGAGGGUUCACUGGUUUGGCUGUGGUGUGAGGCUGCCGUCUCCGCAGAAUAACAGGGGGUGUGGGUGAGUAGAGGGAUGCCCUGACCAGCGGUGGGAGUAGAAGCGGGCGGUGAGGCCUGCGCGGCACCGCAGCCGGCGCUGGAUUUGGUGGCUGGAGCAAGAAGAUCAGAGACUGAAGAAACACGACGGUCGUUGGAUUGGCAUCCAACGGUUACGUCUGCUAGAAUCAUUUGUUGAUGUAUAUAAUAACUAAAAAAAUCUUGCAUACGCGUCAACUUAAUAGGCCCACAAGUCAGACCAUUCCCUAUUUUUUAAUAAUUUAUAUAUAGAUCAUUGCAACUUCUUAUGCAAUUUAUUGUAGUCAGUUUUUUUGUUGGCCAGGGCCGAUGUUAAAAAUUUAAACAAAAUUUUGUAUACUUCUGUGGGUUCCAAACUAUUUUUAGUACCGAAAUGUCGAGCCAGAUUUAAAGUACUUUGAAGAUAUAUUUAAAUUAGGUUAAAGCCGAGUGAAAUAGGAAUCUGAAAAUGUGAAAAAAUUCAGAAAUUAUAAAGUAAUUACCAAUUUGUCUUAUGUUUUUAUAUUUACAACCCAUUUCAUAUUACUUUCAAGAUUUGCAGGCGUCUUGAAAGAGUUGCAACCCAUCAGGGUGUAGAAAAAUAAGUAGGCCUGGAUUGGAUAUUCUUCAGAAUAAAUAAACUGGGUUCAUUUUCACAAAGAAAAAAUAGCUGGGCUGGUCAUAUGGUGAACAUAAAAUAGAAACCUCGGCUAGACGGGCCACAGCCCAGUUGAAACCCUGCUCCAUCUCAACAAUAACAAAAAAAUACUGCUCGAGCAGCUACGUCCUAGGUGUCAGCCGAUCUUGUGCUAUUCUCUUGUCUAUUGACUAUAUACGUUCACAAUUUCAUGGGUCCCAGAUGUCAGGAAACCACUAGGAGGAAGCAUUUUCUUUUUCCAUACGCUGACAUGGUGGGCCCCUACUGUCAUCCUCUCCACGUACUUUUGUCGAUUCCUGUUGUUUAUUGACCAUGUUGACAACGCGAUAGGGCGGCGCCGCGGCAAGCGCACCAAAGCGUGCGGAGGACGACGGCGAGGCCUCGGAUGUCGGCGUUAAUGAUUUAGGAGACGGUGGGAUGGCGAUGCGUGCGCUGAGGCACAGCCAGCCGUGGGAGGCGAAAGCAGGCGGCUCCGCCGGCACUGGUUUGGUUUUGGCGGCUGGAGGAAGACAGGACUGAGGAAACACAAUAGACUGUAAAAGCAGCAGGACUACUUAACAACCUUAACUGAAACCAACAGGGGCACUUAACAACCAUAGCUGAAAGCAGUAUGAGUACUUAUACAGGUUCAACCGUACAAAUCAUGCCUCGAACAGUGCUACUUUGCCUAUAGUUAACCAAGGGUGAGGCCGCCAAGCCCCAGUACAUGGCCCAGGCGCCACCCCAUGCAUCCACAACCUUCUGAAAGCGGCUUCAUCUCGCAAUGUGGUCAAUAAACAGGAUAUUUUCUUUAGAGCCAUGGAAAAGCAGGAACAUAAUCUUCUGUCCUAUUCUCCAAGAUGGACGAGCCUUCAUUAUUUGAGACGACCCAUGAAUAAGUAUCUUUUCACCUCCAAGGGGAAUGGAGUAGGUCGACAUAAACAUCAUGUUGUGACCAAGCGCAAGUCUAACCCGACCAUGGUCAGGCAUCUGUAUAGGAACAGUAGAACUGGGCAGUUUCUAUUUCAAGAAGAUCACAACUGUAAAACUAUGUAUAAGCAAUAGUUUAUGAACAACAUAUAUAACAGAAAACAGCUCGUACCAUAAGUUGCUCAACAUAGUUGGACCUGUUCAAUGAGUGCAGCAGUGGCACACAUAUCCCACGUGGCCUUCCACCAUUGAAACGCCCCACAAGGACCUCAAGACGAACAAUAAAGUGUAGGAACUUGUGGAUGUCGUCCCAGUCAACUCCAGUGCCAUCAGUAACAGCCGAGUUCUUAUAGAAUAACAAACGAGCAGCCUGCUUAACUCUGAAAAAAUCUACACGUGCCACCAAUUAUAAGAAAAUAUUAGUUAGAAGUAGCAUCUUCGUGAGAGAUUCGUUACUACUUCUAAAGUUAAAUUGUGAUUAGUUAGACAUAAUAGGUGGAUUAAGAAGUAAUCGAGGCAACAAGCAAGAACUAGAUACAAAACUAACAUGGAUGAACAAUUGGAAUGACGUCGGGGUGGAAGAUCGCAGUGAAGAUGAGACCAGGUUCUGCUAUGUCCAUCAACAUUCGUGCACCAACUUUCAGUUUGUAACACUUGAGAAAGUUUAUCCAAGUCCUGCCAAAAAAACCCAGCGAUCUUCUUGGUUCAUGAACCCAACUCAGAACUUAUAUCCAUGGCUUGUCUUCACUAUGACCAUUAAAAUGGUGUAUUCAGUUAUGGCAAGGCCGAGCAUCUUGAGUACAUGUGUUCUGGCAGAGCAAAUAAUGCACUGCAGGAAAAAUAAUAUGAGAACACAAUGUAUUCCCUAUCCAAAUCUAGAAAUAAUUUCCUCCUUCACGUCAGUGUUGACCAUCGUACUAGUACCUUUUAUGCAAAUAUAACAAUCCAAAUUUCCAAAUUAUUGACAGCAUGUUCAAAAAACCCCAUCCUCCCGGAGAGAAAAGAGGAUUCUAGGAACAUACUGUGCGCUUUUAAAAUCCCGUGUCAGGAUGAGAAGGAACAAGUGUGGCGUCUCGCCGAGGGUGCAGAAACCUGUAGGGUCCUCGCACUUUGGGCACUGCAAAUGAAACACACUAGAUUCAGUAGGAAGAAAAAUGCAUCAACGGCGGCAGCUGCCAUCCUAGGAUAACCCAGGACCAAGGGACUUGGAUUUAUCGGGGAUGGAUGAAGAAUUCAUACCUGGUUCUCCAUGAGAAAACCCUAUGCAAUCGUCGAGAGGGGGUUUUCUCUAAAAAAGCGGACGAGGGAGAAGGGGAUUCAGGGCCAGUGAAAUAUUGCCGCUUCAUCCGUCCAGCUUACUGCUAAAGCUGGAAAGGUGGGGGGUUUUGUGAUUUGACGGCUCAUUGGGCAUUACUGCGGCGCUACGACCGGGGUGUGUCUACCAUGCAGUUGUGCACUCUAAUUUGGUGCAUAUGGCACGUUGACCCCGUUGCCGGAUGCCCCACAUAUCAGCGAAAGGAAGUAGAAAGACAGGAGUAACUAGUUACACAUAAAUAUAUUUUUGACAGAGAGAUACUCCCUGUGUAAGGAAAUAUAAAAAUCUUUUAUAUCACAAGUUUAUACAUAAGAAAAAUCAAGGGGAAUAUAUAUGACAUAUAUAAUUAUAAAAACAGAGUUUUUUUAACACAAUAUAGAAGAUUUAUAUCUGACGGAUAGGAAGAAAACUAUGACAAUUUUGCAAAAAGGUACCCACACACCUCCCCACAUUUGCAAAUAAGGCCUUCCCUCGUUCAUCCAUUUCUCUCACAAGAUAAAAUACUCAUGCAAAUGCAUCUUGAUGUUAUGUGCAAUGCACGGGCCUUAUGGGGGUUCAGCUGAGAAUAUAAUACUCAGGCAGGCUCACGGUUCUGGACUUUGGGCCAUAGUCUAGUGGGCCUGCAUGUUUGGGGGCCCAUGUGUUCUACCUCAGCGCUUUUCAUAUUGCAAGCGAUCAGUACGGCGCUGGUUUUAUAUGCUGUCGCAAGGCGAAUACACAAAAUUGAAUAAAGUAUGAUAGCUGUUGGAAUGAAAUCGAACGACAGUUCCUAACCAGCAAUCAGAGUUGCAAUUCUAUCAACGAUAUACCAUGUGAUAAAUAAUACUGUCGUACUACUUAUACACACAUGACACUUGUUACACCAUGCCAGAUUAUUAAAUCAAAAUCUCUCAGAGAAUAGAUCAGUUCGGCAGUUGCGUGCUACCACUGAAGAAAGUUCGAUUUUGACACCAUCCCCUACCACAAGAUAUGAUUUAGAUUUGAACCUUGACCAUCCUUUAGCAUCAAUCAUCAUGUGACCAUCCUUUGUACUUAUAGUAUAUUGAGCAGGUUCAUUCACACCAAGACUGCGCAUGGUAAGAGAAACUUGGCCACGGUCACCCGGAUUGUUGAACGACCCCCUUGUUGCUCUAGGAAUUCUCUGUUGCAAACAAGAAGGCAUACACAAACAGUUAGAUCAACACCGUGAAUCAUGUGAAACAACAUGGAAAGAAAAAAGAACGAAGCACUUGGGCGGCCAAUGCUUACCAAGAAGGUGGACAUGUCGGUUUUUGUAAGGACUUUGGUAUAUGAAGUGUGAACUGCAUCCCAGUCUAUUGCCGAUGCAACUGCUCGUUCGGUUGCCGCUGCACGGGCCGGAGGAGAUGCAAGUGCAAGUGUUGGUGCAGGUGCCGAAGUCGUUGCUAGUGCCCGUGCCGGUGCGACUAGUAGUGCUGCUGCUGGGUGCUCCUUGUAGAGCUAGUGCCAGUGUCUGAGCAGGUGCCGGUGUCGAUGCCCGGUCCUCCGGUAGAUCAGCCUGAUCCGCUGAUGCGGUCGGUGCCCAAUCGUCAGCUUGAUCAGACUGAGCUACUUCCGCUGUUAGUGCUAGAGCAACUGCCCGUGCUCGAUCCGUUGCUGAAGGUGGUACCGAUGUGCGAGACAGUGGCGAUCGUGUCUGGUCUGCCAUGAUCAGCUUUCUAACUUGACUAGGCUCCAUGACCGUGAUCCAGUUUUUUUCCUUCAUUUCUUUUAAACGCGAGAAGGACUAAUUGUGGCAUUUUUGUUAAACCAAAUUACAGUUCAUCGUAGGCAUUCAGCUUGUACUCAGACAACAGACUGAUUCAAUUUUUUCUAGUAAUAUAAGUGAUGGAUAGCGCCUUCAUUACUGACACGACAUAAGAAGUAAAACCUGCAAAAAUAGCCAUCAUAUAGCAAACCAAACGGGUUAUUCUGUGAUGAAUGUCACAUGGCAAAACCUACAUCGUAAAAUUGCAGGAAAAUAAUGAAAACAUGACAUUAAAUCAAAGAUAUUUAGAUAGUAAAUCAAUAAGAUUUACUUGAUGUGACACGAGUGAAUCCUUACUAGGAAAUCACUAUGUUGAAGUACUAAACAGAAGAUUGAUCGUCCAACUACGGGUGGCAUGCAAGGCCCCCGCCUACUCCCACAAGUAGGACAAUCCAUAGGUCAUGACAAAUCGUAUGGACCGAAAAUCCAUGGGACUGGAAAUCCUUGUGGGUGCAAUGAACCCUGCAAUGCAUACAGAUAUUGGAGUACAACCAUAAUUGAUAAACCCUUCUCACAAAAAAGAUGAUCUGGAUACUUCAAAAUAUACAGACUGAACUGAGUGGACAGACAUUAACAUGGACUAUUCUCAAGACUCACCACACACCAAAAGCGGCAUUACUAAACAAUACAGGGUUCACUAACACAAAUCAAGUACUGAACAAAAGUACUUACUACAGACAAGCAAAGUUGCACGAAUUAAACUCUGCAGACUAUGUCUUGCCACCGACCUACGGGAUGAACCCUCUCAUAAUUGACUAGGCCAUGGACUUCGUGAGAGAUGUCUACCUGCACCAUCACCAUCUCAUGAACCUUGGAGAACCUAACAGAGUGGUCUUUCCGAACAUGAUGAUGAAGACAGGCCGCAUCAGAUUUUUCGGGAAGCUUUACAAGAACCACACCCUUCGUAAUCAAAGGCACAACCAGGAAAUUGUUGUGGUCAAGUACAGCCUCGAGAACAUGCCUAGCGACAAUGCUACAGGAAAACACUAGUCAGGGCACAUGGCGACAAGGACACAGCAGCUAUAUAGUUUAGCAGUAGAACUCGUCCUCAGGUCUACCAGUUCACACGGCAUGACUUUGAGAACUUCAUCUCCACCGCAGACCUGGUUCUAAUUCAAACAGAAACCAUAUUCUUUUACUACCUCCGUUCAGAAAUAUAAGAUGAUUUUGGAUAUUAUACUCCACAUAUGACUACAUAUACGCACAAAAAUGAGUGAACAAAGACACUGGAACAUGUCUUCAAAGGCAUGAGAGCAGAGGGAUUACUUGCAAUAUCCAUAACACAAGUUACUAAGGCAAAUAUACCCUCUUCAAAGGUAGCAUUGAUGUUCAUAAAGUACUCCCUUCGUCCCAAAAUUCUUGUCUUAGAUUUGUCUAGAUAUGGAUGUAUCAAGUCACAUUUUAGUAUUAGAUAGAUCCGUAUCUAGACAAAUCUAAGACAAGAAUUUUGGGACAGAGCGAGUAGUUGAAAGUCAUCUAUAGGAAAUCAGUAUCAACCUCUCGCAUGUUUUGGUCAAAAGAGGAAUUUAGAACCGUCAUUUGGCACACAACAAUCACAUGCAAGAUCACCCAGAAAGUUGUACUACUAGUACUAGUACUGCGUGCUAGAUGAAAAAACACGAUCAAGAUCGAGAAAAAGAUCGUCAAGAAGAGAUAGUACCUGGACUUGCUUAAUGAGGGAUCCCAGAGAGGGGGGCUUGGACAUGGCGAUGGCUUUGAGCUUGUCCGCGGUAGUCCCGGUAGGGGUGCUUGCGCUUGUUCGUAGCCUCGACGGUUUUGUCUAGAGCCAUAGACUUCACGUCAGCCGGUGCUCCAGCGUCCAUCCAAGAGAGGAAGCUGAGAGAGAAGAGUGAAAUGAGGAACGAGAUGAUGGAGAAGCGAAGCGAGUGGGGGUUUUCUUCAAGAGAGGAAGCUGAGAGAGAAGAGUGAAAUGAUGGUUGCUUCGUCCGUCCAACUUACUGCUGGAAAGGAGGGGGUUUUGUGAUUUGACAGCUCAUUGGGUAUUACCAUGGUGCUUCGAUCGGGGUAGUCUACCGUCACUCUACAACGAAGUAAUUUAGUGCAUGGCUGGUGGACCCCGAUGUUGGCUGUCCCACACGUCGGCGAAAGUGAGUAAUUUAGUGCAUGGCUGGAGGAGGAUCCGCACGGUAGAGCGUGUCCACUAUUUUUCUGAAGAAAAAAAAUGAUUACAACAAGCGUUUCCACUCUUACGACGAAGGAGUGCGAAACACGGCAGCCACUUGAACAUACACAAUGCUCCUACUACUAGGCAUGUGCAGUGGUUCAUACGUCAGUACUACAUAAUCUUGUUACUAGUGUAGUAAGCUAUUACAAUAACAAAUGAUGUUGUGCGCAUGUCAGCUGUAUGAACAGUAGUGUAGUAACAUAGUACCGCUUUUUCGACUGUUCGGUCGAGAAUGAACUGUGAGAUCAAUGUUAACAGAACUAGGUCUACAACGCACGGAGAGUGCGGUGCUACAGUACUCUAGAAAACAUGAACCAUAUGAAGCACGAAUCAGUGUUAGGCAGGGUGUAUGAAUGGUGCACGGGAUGGGAGCAAAAGUUCCCUUCUUGACCCACUUUUGGGUGUUUGGCAGAGUGCAUGAAGGGUGCAUGAGUCCACACUAGUAGGUUAACACGAAUAAAUGAAGAGGGAACGACUAUAUUGAGAUGAGAAUGCAACCAAACAUACCCACACGCUUUGUGCUACAGUGACUGAUCUACACCGUCUGAGUUUGAUCCAACGGUCAUGUUGUGCCGAGACAUGGGCAUGCCCAUGCAGAGGGAGCCUAAACACCACCGAAGUCCCUCUGCCUCUUGAGGCGCAUGACAUUGGUGAUGCAUGGUGCAAUCGCCCGCAGAGCCCGCUCCCGGUCGACGGGAGCCCGCUCGUCAAAGAUGGUGUCCAAUGGCACGAAUGGAUUCCGGUAACGGAGCCCUGAGAGGAUUCGCCCGGCAACGGCGACGGCAGCCUGCAACCCCUCCUUGUCCAGCUCCGCCUCCACCAUCACGUGGAGAUGGCUCAGCUCCUCGGAGAUAUAGGUGAAGAAGGAGACCAGGUCAGGAAGCCGCAGCUUGUUGAAGUCGAAGGGGUGGUCGAACGGGUUUAGCCUGACAGCCGGCAUGGUCGCGCUGGCACGAUGGUAGGCAUUGCGCAGCCGCAACACAUGCAUGGCAACUUGGUCCACCAAGUGGCUGAGGCGAUCCUGGACCUCGUGACGAUCAGCCCGCUCGCGCUCCAUCCGGCUCCCCUGACGGCCUAUCGUAUCUCCCGCUUUAUGCAGCAACGCCGCCGACGCCUCGAGCAUCUUUAUGGUGGACACCUACCGCUUUUGAAGCUCCAUGAACUCCCGCACAUAACGGAGGAGCAUGGCACUGCUCUCCUCCUUGAGCUCACAGAGCUCCACGUCCUUGGCCCAGAGCUCCGCAUCGUUGGCCCGGAGCUCCUGUGUCAGGCGCCUCACCUCGGACUCCAUGAUCUGCUGCGCCGCCGUGGCACCAGGUAGAAGCAAUGGGGAGAGGAAGCAAAUGGGGCGAAAUGGCUGAUAGGCAAUGCAAUCUACGGGAAGGCGGAGGGAGCCAGCCGAGGAGCGUGGAAUCUUUUGGUUUUCACCAUGGGAAAACACCAGUCGACAACUUCUUACAUCAGGGAGCAGUGGGUUUUACAGGUAGAGUCAUCGUGACUAAUUGCUGCCGCGCCUGCUGCCGUCAAUCAAAAAAUUAAAAAUCCUACCGCGCCUGCUCCCGUCAAUCAAAAAAUAAAAAAUCCUGUCACACCCAAACACCAGAGCAACGCCGCGGUGGAUAUUUAAAUUUACCUGCCAGCAAGGAGAUAAAAAAGUGGGUGAAAAAACAAAUGUGGCGGCGACCUAGCUAAUCGGUCGCACUAGCCCAACUAGCUCGCCACCGUGCUUCACUGAUGUACUUGGCGGAAAGGUGGUCUUUCGUGAUUUGAUGACUCAUUUACUUGCUUCAGCGCUAUGACCGAGGAGGACCCAGAAAACGCACGGUAGGGCGUCCCACGUCUCGGCAAGGAAGAAUAUAUGUGUGCACCACCUGGGAGGACCCCUAAAUUGCGCAGUAGGGUGUGCCACGUCUCGGCACGGAGGAAAAAUGUGCAUGUAAAAAUAUACUAUAUCAGACAUAGUACCUAUGGUUCGACCUUGGGACCCAGCCAGUUGGUCGAAAACACCCCACUAGCCACACAACUUCAUCAUGCUAACAUGGCACGGAGGAUAGGUGUGGUUAGCUCCGUCUCGACCAACCACAACGUCUCUUGUUCUAGGCGAUUCUUCUAUUUUCCAAGCUUUUUUAGUUAUAAUAACCCCACGGCAAGCUAGCACCGCUCUUCAUGUGUGCCCGUGCAAAGGUUAGAUGAUGAAGAUGAGAGAGAGAUCGAAGACCUGGGACCCACCAGUAAGUGAAUCAACGGUCAUGGUCAUGCACGUGUUGACGAGGCACUCCCUCUACUCUACUCAACGUAAUACUGUAUAAAAUCAAGUUAUGAAACAAAGCCAACAACCAUUUGUUGUUUCAGGCUAUCGACUUACGCUUUGUAGUCCAGGCUGCCAGUUCAAAUCUCGUCUUUCAGAAUUGUCAGUUUUAGGUCCAAAUUUGAUUAAUGACAAGUGGGACUGAGGGAGUCCUGGAUUAGGGGGUAUCCGGACAGCCGGACUAUGUACUUUGGCUGGACUGUUGGACCGUGAAGAUACAAGACUCAAGACUUCAUCCCGUAUCCGGAUGGGACUCUCCUUUGCGUGGAAGACAAUCUUGGCGAUCCGGAUAAUAGAUUUCCUUCUUUGUAACCGACUAUGUGUAAACCCUAGCCCUCUCAGGUGUCUAUAUAAACCAGAGGGUUUAGUCCCUAUUGGACAAUCAUAAUCAUCAUAGGCUAGCUCCCAGGGUUUAGCCUCUACGAUCUCGUGGUAGAUCAACUCUUGUAAUACUUAUAUCGUCAAUAUCAAUCAAGCAGGAAGUAGGGUUUUACCUCCAUCAAGAGGGCCCGAACCUGGGUAAAACAUCGUGUCCCUUUGCUCUUGUUACCAUUAGCCUUAGACGCAUAGAUCGGGACCCCCUACCCGAGAUCCGCGGGUUUUGACACCGACAUUGGUGCUUUCAUUGAGAGUUCCUCUGUGUCGUGGCUACAAGGCUUGAUGGCUCCUUCAAUCAACAACAACACGGUCCAGGGUGAGACUUUUCUCCCCGGACAUAUCUUCGUGUUCGGCGGCUUCGCACUGCGGGCCAAUUCGCUUGGCCAUCUGGAGCAAAUCGACAGCUACGCCCCUGGCCAUCAGGUCAGAUUUGGAAACUUGAACUACACGGCUAUCACACCCUGAUUUUCAUGCCACAACACUUAAGUCAAUAAAUCAUGCUAAAAUGUGGUUUGACAAAAACUUUUGAGUGUUUUGUCUUUGCUUUGAUUGAAUGUGUGUCUGCUGUUUGCAAGUGCUCUAAAAAUCAAAUAAAUCCUCCAACUACUAUACUUCAUUUCCUUGCCCCAAACUUCUGCCCAAUGAUCAUGCCAUGUGUAUAGAGCAAUAUAGUAUUUUCUUACAAAAAUAAUUUGGCCAAAAAGUAUUUUCAAAAAUUAGUUUUCAAAAACCCCCUGAAUUGAGGCUUGCACUGCAAAUACUUAAUUAAGGGCAGUAAAAAUAUUUAUAAAAAUAUAUUUGACUCCUAUUAGAUAUAGAAUACCCAGAAACCACAAAAAUAUAAUUUUAAAAGUUAUUUUCCUAUUUUAUUUAAAGGCUUUUUCUUAAGGCCAGAAAUGGUCUUUAAUAGGGAAAAAUUACUUUAGUGCUUUAAAAAUAUUUUGGAAAAACCUAGGGAAACUCAGUGGACAUAUAUUGUCCAUAUAUAAGAGUUUCAACACAUGGUCAUGUUCAAAAUAUUGGUCAAAUCCCUCAAAAACCCUUUCUGGAUAUUUCAAGCUUUUGAAAUAUUUACAAAGGAAAUAUUCCCCAAAAAUUCCAAGAAAAUUCUAUCAUGUCACAUAUGACAUAUUUGGUGAUCUUGCCAAGUAUCAUGUCUUGGAGAACAAGAUAACAUCAUCAAAUCCUCUCAAAACCAUUUCUGUCCAUUUUAAAGUUUGAGAAACUUUACAUUGCCAAACGUGUCCAAAUAUUCUCAAACCUUGUGAACAUUCUCCAAUGGUCUAAUUAUUCAUCUUGACCAAGUGGCACAAGUUGGAGAACAAGUUAUAUUGAUCAAAGUGCCCCAAAACCCUCUCUGACCAGAACCAAAUUUGAACAACUCUACAUUGGCAACCUUCUCCUUUUGAUCUCAACUUUUGUGGACAUGUUCAAAUCCUCAAAUGAUGACACUAAACCAAGUGGUGCAUCAAGGAGAAUAGAUUUGCAUGACUAAAUCUUGGCAAAGUCAUUUCUGCUGAUUUCUAGGGUUCACCAAAGUUACAUUGGCUACUUUGCCCAAGUGAGCUCAAACUUGGUGGAACACCCUAAUUCUAUGUUCCAUUCCAUCCUGUUAGUUCUCAUGGCAAGUGGAAUUAAUUUUCUUGCCCAAACCAUUAUCAAACACCUUGUGACACUUUACCAAAAUGCCAUUUUUGAUCUCUUCCACUCUUCUCCAUGGCCUCUAAUUUUUACCACAGCUCCUACUAGCCCCCUUUCACCUCCAGUAACAAUGGCUGUACCUCAGCUCAAUGAUUGAGGGGUGAAACCACCUCAUUUACCCCACUGGACAGCCCCUUUCCCUCGCUUCCUCACCUCCCUCCUCCCUCCAGGGGCCAUCCAGGGCAUCCAAUGCCCCUCCCCAUUUGUUUACUCCCCCCUAGAGCCCCCAGACACUAGAGGACAAGCCUAGAGCGCUGGAAAAAUGGCCAUGCCGGCCAUAUGCACGCUCUGGAGCGCGCUACAGUGCGCUCCCGCACUGUAGCCGCCCCCUGCCAAGCACUCCCGGCCACCUCGGGCCUCCCCAGCGCGCCCGACGAGGUGCCUCGACGUCCGCAACACGCCACGCCCCUGGCCCCCACCUCCUUCUCCCUCCUCUCGCCCCAGCUCGCACGCGCGGCGACCGCCCGAGCGCACCAGUGAACAUGCUCACACGCGCGGUGCCUCAGGCCCCCUGCUCCCUCUCUCUCUUCUUCCCCUGGGCGUAGUCGACCCCCAUGAACACCCCAGACACAACCAAACAGGCCCCCGUGACCCGUGGCGACGGCAACGAGCUUGCUGGCGCACAGGUCCACGGUGGACCACCGUGCGGCUAUUUAAGCCCGCCCCAGGUCUCUCUCGUGCCAUCCAACUCCUUCUCACACCCCCAAGCACGCGCCCGCACCACCCAAUCAGUCUCGGAGAGCUUCUAUGCUCGGGAUCGAUCGGAGCUCCGCCGCCUCGGUCGGCCGUUGAUCUCGUGGUACAAGCCUUCUUUGCCCUCUCUCUCUCUCGAUCUGGAACCGCCUCAUCUCUCUGACCAUUUCCCCUCUCUCCCCCGCGUCGUUUGCAGCCGAAAUCAACCGGGGCGAACUCCUCCCGAAGCUUUGCCGCCGUCCUCCUCGUCGCCGGCGAACCCCUGCGCUCCGGCGACCGCCUCCAGCUCCACCCGAACGGCGACUCCUCCCUGAGCACGCCGGUGCCCUCGGAUCGCCUCGCCGUCGACCACAGUGACGCCGGUGAGCUCGCCUUCCUCUCUGGACGGAGGUUGACGACGACGGCCGUGGGGCCCGUCGGUCAGCCUCACAUCCUAACAGGGGGCCCUGCCUGUCAGGUUUAAAACUCCACCGCGUGCCUGCUCGCUCGCGUAAGUGGAGGCGGGCCGCGCUACUCCCGCGUUUCCACGGUGAAAGCGCCCUCCCGUGAAGCCGCCUUCGACGUGGCCCCUGUCGCCCGCGUGGCCGAGCAGCUGGGCCGGCCCAAUGCGCUGUGGCGCUAUGCUGCGCUCGGUGCGCAGUAUAGGUAUAACCCCUUCCUUUGUCUUUUCUUUAUUCCAGUCAACUUCAAAAUUCCAUAAACAAUUCAAAUUAACUCCAAAUUUGAUGAUUCAAAUUUCUAGUGACUCUAUAAAUCAUGAUCUACCUGUUGGUGCAACAUGCACAUUUUUCCGGAGACUUUUUCUUCACAAAUAUUUAUCAAAUCCCCAUUUUCCUAUUUCUGUGAUGAACUUUAGAAAAUCACAGAAGGCUCAAAAUUGAUCCAAAUUCCAUGAUUCAAGUUCCUAGGUGUUCCUAAGUUCAUAACUUAGUCUAUGAACAUUUUUAUUAAUACUUUCUGUACCACAUAAAUUAUUGAGCCAUUUCUUCAUAUUUAUCAACCUUGCAAAUUCAUAGGAAAUUCAUUUGAACUCCAAAUCCAGUGAAACCAUUCCUAGAUGCUUCUAAAAUCAUCCUUUGUUAAAUGGGUGCCUUUGCUCAUUUUUCAAAAUAAUUCUUCUGUACACAUCUUGAAAUUCCAUAAACUCCUUGAUUCCAUCAUAUCGAAAUGUUUAGAAAUAUCCAUAGAUCCACUUCCAUUGAAAUCACUUUGGUCAUUCCUCAUAUGACCAGAGGUAUCCUAGAAAAGUCCAACUCUCAUUUUUAGAGCACUUUUUUUUUCAGUCUUGCUGUGUUGCUUAUUAUGGUUGCUUUCAACGAUAGUUGACGAAGUAGACGAAAUGCUUGGAGUUGGACCAGAGAUAUUUGAAGACCUCGAAGACUUUGUUAAAACAGGCAAGCAGCCCAUUGACCAUGUCUAUGAAACCUUUUUAUGCAUGUCAUAUAGUACCUUAUCAUUGUUGCAACGGAAUCAUGAUGGGGUGAUAACCACUUCGAUGGUUGCCACCAUACUUCCUCGUUGAUACUUGCAUUGUGCAUGACCCUAGCUUCCUAUGAGGGUUAUGCCGGUGGGAGUAGAUAGGAUGCUAAGGUAGUGCUACGCAAAAAGGGACGGGUAUAUGCAUGGUGAAGGAGGCAAAGUAUUUUCAAAAGACUUUUUCGAAAACCCCGUCGUGUGCCCCUUAUGCCCGAGGGAGAUGAUGAAAUGGGUAACCACUUGAUGACGAAGUGGUGUACCGAGGCAAGUGUGUGUUGUUUUCGAAAACGGAUUAGAUUUAAGAUUUGUUGACUGUCCCAACCUUACAUGCGCAACCACUCUACCCUUAUAUGGGAAAGGGCAUUAUUGAUUACCUAGGCCGAUACUAGCUUGGAGCCCGCAUUACUAGUGACGGGGGAGAGUUGGUGCUCUCUCUCGGGACGGGGUCGUGCCAGGUAGGGCGGCCAUGACUGUUUUCACAGGGCACCGAACACACCGUUGGUACCCCGUGCUUGUGGUAUGUGAUGAAUAUCGGAGCGAUGCUCCACAAUUUUAAGAUGUGAAAUGUUGGGUACGGGGGUUACUACCAAUCGAGUGGACUCCAUGUUAGUGUCGUCUAGGGAAAGGUAGUGAUCGGGUGCUUACCCCAGGUACUUGAGGUACCGCGGGUCGUGGAUGACACGGAAGUUCCCCGGAUCUUGUGGGUAUAGUGUGCAACCUCUGCAGAGUGUAAAACUAUUCGAAUAGCCGUGUCCACGGUCAAGGACAGUUGGGCGGUGCUGCUUAAACUACGUCCAGAGUUUUCAACCGUGUGUGUGUGUGUUGAUGAAACUACUUGGGUCAAGUCAAGGGACUUGACAUGAUUGAGAUGGGUUGGUGCCCACUCUAUUUAUGUUAGAUGGGUUGGUGCCCACUCUAUUUAUGUUGAUAUCUAUAACCUGUCCUCAUGGUUACUUGAAUUCUCUUGAUGCAUGCCUUACAAAGUUGUUGAACAUGACAUUGCACUCAAAACUAGCUUUCUGCAAAAAUUUACCUAUAUCAAACAUUGUUGUAUCUUGAACCAAAACAUGGGUUGCUUGCGAGUACAUUCAAACGUACUCACUGGCUUGUCCCUGGCUAUUUACUUGGCCAGGCUUGAAAGAACAGGAUAUGAUGAAGAAUACUUCGGCGACGAGCAUGCGAACUAGGACGUUUCCCAGUCAGAAUGCCUGUAGGGUUAAGGUAGAUGGCAUGGGUUCUACUUAUCGACGAAGAUUUCCGCUGCGAUGAUACACUCAAGACUUGACCAUAAUGGUCCUACUUGUGUAAAACGGUAUGUAUGGAUGUAAGACUCUUGUUAUUCAGCUUCUGUGUGUUCAGUGAGCAUUGAUCUUUGGGAUCACUGUACACAUGCAUUCGGUGAUCACGACUUAUGAGUCGGGGUCCCCACAGAGCUGGUAUCAGAGCCAUCCUGACUGUAGGAAGCCUUAGUUAGCAUGGUCAUUGGUUAGGGUAAAACUAUUUCCAAAACUACUACUAGUUUUCAAAACUAUCUAUACUUCUCUUCCCUUCUCAGUUUUUCGAAAACUAAGGUAUACUUUCCUUAUUGAUCUCUUCCCCUUCAAAACCUUUGGUCGCUAGAACCCUUAUGCCCCUGACCACUGGAUUCCUUGUAAUCCUCGUGGAUAAUCUAGAAGGAAGAUGCCUUGCCAGACGUUCACCCACAUCUCCUGAACACAAGAUUGGCGACAACACAACAAGACAAUACCAACAGAAGAUACAUCCUCAAGGAACGAGGACCUGAAGACCCAGGAGAUGGUGACACCCUUGACACUGCCCCGAGAUGAUGCAACAUUAGCCUACGAUGAUCAGGGCAUAGGAUAUGCAAGAUCAUGAUAUACAUUGCUAAUAGAGUAACCCUGUCACUACCGUUGAUGUAUCGGCAACCACCGAUGGAUGAGAACCUAGCCAUUUGGUCCGCCUCACCAUAGUGAGCAGGAAAACGGUUCUCCUCAUCCCCCGCUCUUGGUGUCGAUGUUGUCAUCAACGUAACCGACAUGAUGGACCUCUAUUAUGCCUUGAUACUGUCAUUGCAUAAGGGAUUACCUACCUGGUACCAUCGACGGCUUAGAAGACAAAAAGGGAUCGUCGUGAUUAAGAAGACAAUAGAAGACCCAGUCAAUGCCAGUUACGAGGAGCCACCUUCACCCCAUCACUUCAACAGGCGAGAAGUUGUCGAAGAUUCUUCAGGCUCAACCCAGAUCGUUCCAUCAAACAAGAGACGUAGCAACACCUGAGGAAAACUCAGAAGACUGCAUGAGGCACAAGGCACGACUACUGAGUCCGAGAACCCCUAGGGUAGGAUGAGUCGUGUACCCCCUAUGCGCAGUCGAGUCCGUAUGAUAGUUCGAAUAGAACCAUGAUUGUGUGUUGCUUGUUUUUUUAUUUGUCUGUGUUUUGAUAUAGGUCGCACUUUUGCCCUAGGCAACAAGUACGCGCAUAUAUCACCUGCCUUAUUUGUUGUUUGUGUUUGGCCUUUUUGGCACUUGUUUGUUGCACCUGCACUAUAGAACCCCCUUUAGGCAUCCCACCUCCUCUAUGCUACUUUUCACUCUCGUCUCUCUCUCCUCAACUGAAGACCAGCAAGAGAAGAUGCACCAAGGAUUCCACCUCGGCGACCAACAAGCACUGAAGACUUUUGCUACAACCUCCUCGACCAAAUGCAACCCCGUAGAAUUAUGUUUUCCCCUCAAGAUUAGAGACCCUUUCCAAGACCCUUCGAGGCUUCACGAGAUACCCCAGCUCGAAACCUUAACCAUGAGCUUAACCUACGGAAUUGCAAGAGAACCUGUUAAGCCGACGUAACCUUGCUUAUCACUGGGUUCAUUAUGGAACUAGUGGACAUAGUGAAUGAGCACAUUAUCAUCCUAAGAUGCCACCAAAACUGGCGAUGCCAUAGGGAAGACCAAUUUAAGGAUAUAGGAACAGAGGACAAAUGACUUGAUGAGUUUAUAUCAAUGACUUGAGGAAUUAUAUGAGACUAUUUGGUGGAUUAUGAGGCUUUGUUGUUGGUAGAUGAACUUGGUGGGAUCAUGAGUAUAGAUUAGCAUAGCUUUCAUUACCCCUGAGUAAAUCAGAUUUAGUAGGAUAAUUGUGUUCGCAAGCUGAAAUUUUGGAAGUAUUUGGAUUUGUCUUAGGCAGGGGAUAUUGAUAGGUGAUAGUUGAUAUGACGAUAAUGACUUGGGGGAAAGUGAAGAAAUUCUCGUUGGACACAAGAUUUGGAUUUAAAUAGGUGAUCCUAGUUGAAUAUAGAUGUUGAGUAAGUCUACAUGGUUCAGAGUAAAUUGGAUUUAGACUGAUGAUCUCCAUCAUGAUACCAUGUUUCCUGGAGGACAAUAAACUAGGAGAUUGGAUUAAUUGUCGGAGUUGAUUUAGAGUUCUAUAUAAGCUUGACCUUGGAGUUUACAUGACCAUGAUAAUGGAAAUUGGUGGACUGACUAUAGUAAGGUAGCCUUCCCAGUAUUUAUGGAUUAUAGGGUAUUAGAAGAUCGUGUGGAACACCAUAGAGAUUGGAUUUGAAGGACUACUAGGUCAUGUAAUGAUUGGUGUAGUUAAUGGGUUGUUGGAGUUGAUUCAUAGGAAGGAAACAAGAUUUUGGAGUGGCAUACAACGUGUUUCCUUAAGAUAGAUGCACUAGCAUGGACCUUGGAGGAAUAGGAUGAGCACUUGGAUUGUCCUGUUUUAUUCCAGCUUAGCAGCUUAUAUGUUCUACCCAUGGAUUUUUAGGGGUAGACAUACAUAUGAUUUUUGGGGAUUGUAGACAUAUAUGAUUUUGUUAGACCUCCUCUCGAGAGCCAUGAGGAUAUGAAUCACAUGAGUGAUGAUUGGAGUUGACCUAUACAAGAUGAUUCUUUUGGUAAUAUGAGGCGAAGACUAGGUAGAACAAUUGGCAUCUCAGGAACCGUGCUUAAGGAUAAAGGUGACAAACGUUCGCUCGCACACUAGAAUCCUUGAAACCCUUAAGCCCUACCAAGCUACAACAUGGUCGGACCAUGACCGUGGGUCUCGACUCUAGAUCAAGAAAACCUUGGACCAUACUCAACCCUGACCACCACUAAUUCCCCAGCCUACUUUAUGUACCCCAUGAACAAAGUCUUCAUGGAGUGCUUAGACAAGACAGUUGUCAUCAUCAUUUGGUGACCUACCUGUCCACCCAAAGAUGGAAGAAGGACCGUUCAGCUAGAUAGAAGACGAUUGAAGGCCGCGAUGUCAAGAAGGAAGAACUACACCUACCACCAUCAUCAAGAAGUAAAUCUCUGCAUCGAAGACCAGGCUUAUCUGCAAGCCACUUCUCUCAAGGGAACCAAGCAUUUCCAUGUCAAAGGAAAGCUCGCCCCAAGAUUCAUUGGCCCCCUUCGAGAUCACUCCAAGAUGUAACAACCCCCUCCGAGAUCACUUCAAGACGAAGAGUAGACAGAUACCAACUAGAUUUACCACCUGACUCACCCACUGUGCACAGCGUUUUUCCACACGACACCACUCCGGAAACAUUUUCAACUUCCUAACUAGCCCGGUCUCUACAAGGACCUUGACCACCGAGCCAUUGACCCCUAGCCCAAUUUAACCUACCACGAGCUACCCAUUAGUAACCUAGAUCAAGAAGAGCAUCAUACACGAAGCCACACCAUCAAGUACCUCAAUCUCAAUGGAGCACUACACGGAAGCGGGAGCAACAUGAGAACGUGAAGACUACCCCAAAUCCAAGAUUCCAUACUCCUUUCCGCGCCUAGUCUGGGAAUUUCGGGGACGAGAUUCUUGUAAGGGGGGUAGGUCUGUCACAUCCUGAUUUUCAUGCCACAACACUUAAGUCAAUAAAUCAUGCUAAAAUGUGGUUUGACAAAAACUUUUGAGUGUUUUGUCUUUUCUUUGAUUGAAUGUGUGUCUGCUGUUUGCAAGUGCUCUAAAAAUCAAAUAAAUCCUCCAACUCCUAUACUUCAUUUCCUUGCCCCAAACUUCUGCCCCAUGAUCAUGCCAUGUGUAUAGAGCAAUAUAGUAUUUUCUUACAAAAAUAAUUUGGCCAAAAAGUAUUUUCAAAAAUUAGUUUUCCAAAAACCCCCUGAAUUGAGGCUUGCACUGCAAGUACUUAAUUAAGGGCAGUAAAAAUAUUUAUAAAAAUAUAUUUGACUCCUAUUAGAUAUAGGAUACCCAGAAACCACAAAAAUAUAAUUUUAAAAGUUAUUUUCCUAUUUUAUUUAAAGGCUUUUUCUUAAGGCCAGAAAUGGUCUUUAAAAGGGAAAAAUUAUUUUAGUGCUUUAAAAAUAUUUUGGAAAAACCUAGGGAAACUCAGUGGACAUAUAUUGUCCAUAUAUAAGAGUUUCAACACAUGGUCAUGUUCAAAAUAUUGGUCAAAUCCCACAAAAACCCUUUCUGGAUAUUUCAAGCUUUUGAAAUAUUUACAAAGGAAAUAUUCCCCAAAAAUUCCAAGAAAAUUCUAUCAUGUCACAUAUGACAUAUUUGGUGAUCUUGCCAAGUAUCAUGUCUUGGAGAACAAGAUAACAUCAUCAAAUCCUCUCAAAACCAUUUCUGUCCAUUUUAAAGUUUGAGAAACUUUACAUUGCCAAACGUGUCCAAAUAUUCUCAAACCUUGUGAACAUUCUCCAAUGGUCUAAUUAUUCAUCUUGACCAAGUGGCACAAGUUGGAGAACAAGUUAUAUUGAUCAAAGUGCCCCAAAACCCUCUCUGACCAGAACCAAAUUUGAACAACUCUACAUUGGCAACCUUCUCCUUUUGAUCUCAACUUUUGUGGACAUGUUCAAAUCCUCAAAUGAUGACACUAAACCAAGUGGUGCAUCAAGGAGAAUAGAUUUGCAUGACUAAAUCUUGGCAAAGUCAUUUCUGCUGAUUUCUAGGGUUCACCAAAGUUACAUUGGCUACUUUGCCCAAGUGAGCUCAAACUUGGUGGAACACCCUAAUUCUAUGUUCCAUUCCAUCCUGUUAGUUCUCAUGGCAAGUGGAAUUAAUUUUCUUGCCCAAACCAUUAUCAAACACCUUCUGACACUUUACCAAAAUGCCAUUUUUGAUCUCUUCCACUCUUCUCCAUGGCCUCUACUUUUUACCACAGCUCCUCCUAGCCCCCUUUCACCUCCAGAAACAAUGGUUGUACCUCAGCUCAAUGAUUGAGGGGUGAAACCACCUCAUUUAUCCCACUGGACAGCCCCUUUCCCUCUCUUCCACACCUCCCUCCUCCCUCCAGUGGCCAUCCAGGGCAUCCAAUGCCCCUCCCCAUUUGUUUACUUCCCCCUAGAGCCCCCAGACACUAGAGGCCAAGCCAGAGCGCUGGAAAAAUGGCCAUGCCGGCCAUAUGCACGCUCUGGAGCGCGCUACAGUGCGCUCCCGCACUGUAGCCGCCCCCUGCCAAGCACUCCCGGCCACCUCGGGCCUCCCCAGCGCGCCCGACGAGGUGCCUCGACGUCCGCAGCACGCCACGCCCCUGGCCCCCACCUCCUUCUCCCUCCUCUCGCCCCAGCUUGCUCGCGCGGCGACCGCCCGAGCGCACCAGUGAACAUGCUCACACGUGCGGUGCCUCUGGCCCCCUGCUCCCUCUCUCUCUUCUUCCCCUGGGCGUAGUCGACCCCCAUGAACACCCCAGACACAACCAAACAGGCCCCGGUGACCCGUGGCGACGGCAACGAGCUAGCCGGCGCACAGGUCCAUGGUGGACCACCAUGCGGCUAUUUAAGCCCGCCCCAGGUCUCUCUCGUGCCAUCCAACUCCUUCUCACACCCCCAAGCACGCGCCCGCACCACCCAAUCAGUCUCGGAGAGCUUCUAUGCUCGGGAUCGACCGGAGCUCCGCCGCCUCGGUCGGCCGUUGAUCUCGUGGUACAGGCCUUCUUUGCCCUCUCUCUCUCUCUCGAUCUGGAACCGCCUCACCUCUCUGACCAUUUCCCCUCUCUCCCCCGCGUCGUUUGCAGCCGAAAUCAACCGGGGCGAACUCCUCCCGAAGCUUUGCCGUCGUCCUCCUCGUCGCCGGUGAACCCCUGCGCUCCGGCGACCGCCUCCACCUCCACCCGAAUGGCGACUCCUCCCUGAGCACGCCGGUGCCCUCGGAUCGCCUCGCCGUCGACCACAGCGACGCCGGUGAGCUCGCCGUCCUCUCUGGACGGAGGUUGACGACGACGGCCGUGGGGCCCGUCGGUCAGCCUCACAUCCUGACAGGGGGCCUUGCCUGUCAGGUUUAAAACUCCACCGCGCGCCUGCUCGCUCGCGUAAGUGGAGGCGGGCCGCGCUACUUCCGCGUUUCCAUGGUGAAAGCGCCCUCCCAUGAAGCCGCCUUCGACGUGGCCCCUGUCGCCCGCGUGGCCGAGCAGUUGGGCCGGCCCAAUGCGCUGUGGCGCUAUACUGCGCUCGGUGCACAGUAUAGGUAUAACCCCUUCCUUUGUCUUUUCUUUAUUCCAGUCAACUUCAAAAUUCCAUAAACAAUUCAAAUUAACUCCAAAUUUGAUGAUUCAAAUUUCUAGUGACUCUAUAAAUCAUGAUCUACCUGUUGGUGCAACAUGCACAUUUUUCCAGAGACUUUUUCUUCACAAAUAUUUAUCAAAUCCCCAUUUUCCUAUUUCUGUGAUGAACUUUAGAAAAUCACAGAAGGCUCAAAAUUGAUCCAAAUUCCAUGAUUCAAGUUCCUAGGUGUUCCUAAGUUCAUAACUUAGUUUAUGAACAUUUUUAUUAAUACUUUCUAUACCACAUAAAUUAUUGAGCCAUUUCUUCAUAUUUAUCAACAUUGCAAAUUCAUAGGAAAUUCAUUUGAACUCCAGAUCCAGUGAAACCAAUUCCUAGAUGCUUCUAAAAUCAUCCUUUGUUAAAUGGGUGCCUUUGCUAAUUUUUCAAAAUAAUUGUUCUGUACACAUCUUGAAAUUCCAUAAACUCCUUGAUUCCAUCAUAUCGAAAAUGUUUAGAAAUAUCCAUAGAUCCACUUCCAUUGAAAUCACUUUGGUCAUUCCUCAUAUGACCAGAGGUAUCCUAGAAAAGUCCAACUCUCAUUUUUAGAGCACUUUUAUUUUCAGUCUUGCUGUGUUGCUUAUUAUGGCUGCUUUCAACGAUAGUUGACGAAGUAGACGAAAUGCUUGGAGUUGGACCAGAGAUAUUUGAAGACCUCGAAGACUUUGUUAAAACAGGCAAGCAGCCCUUUGACCAUGUCUAUGAAACCUUUUUAUGCAUGUCAUAUAGUACCUUAUCAUUGUUGCAACGGAAUCAUGAUGGGGUGAUAACCACUUCGAUGGUUGCCACCAUACUUCCUCGUUGAUACUUGCAUUGUGCAUGACCCUAGCUUCCUAUGAGGGUUAUGCCGGUGGGAGUAGAUAGGAUGCUAAGGUAGUGCUACGCAAAAAGGGACGGGUAUAUGCAUGGUGAAGGAGGCAAAGUAUUUUCAAAAGACUUUUUCGAAAACCCCGUCGGGUGCCACUUAUGCCCGAGGGAGAUGAUGAAAUGGGUAACCACUUGAUGACGAAGUGGUGUACCGAGGCAAGUGUGUGUUGUUUUCAAAAACGGAUUAGAUUUAAGAUUUGUCGACUGUCCCAACCUUACAUGCGCAACCACUCUACCCUUAUAUGGGAAAGGGCAUUAUUGAUUACUUAGGCCGAUACUAGCUUGGAGCCCACAUUACUAGUGACGGGGGAGAGUUGGUGCUCUCUCUCGGGACGGGGUCGUGCCAGGUAGGGAGGCCAUGACUGUUUUCACAGGGCACCGAACACACCAUUGGUACCCCGUGCUUGUGGUAUGUGAUGAAUAUCGGAGCGAUGCUCCACAAUUUUAAGAUGUGAAAUGUUGGGUACGGGGGUUACUACCAAUCGAGUGGACUCCAUGUUAGUGUCGUCUAGGGAAAGGUAGUGAUCGGGUGCUUACCCCGGGUACUUGAGGUACCGCGGGUCGUGGAUGACACGGAAGUUCCCCGGAUCUUGUGGGUACAGUGUGCAACCUCUGCAGAGUGUAAAACUAUUCGAAUAGUCGUGUCCACGAUCAAGGACAGUUGGGCGGUGCUGCUUAAACUACGUCCAGAGUUUUCAACAGUGUGUGUGUGUGUUGAUGAAACUACUUGGGUCAAGUCAAGGGACUUGACAUGAUUGAGAUGGGUUGGUGCCCACUCUAUUUAUGUUAGAUGGGUCCCACUCUAUUUAUGUUGAUAUCUGUAACCUGUCCUCAUGGUUACUUGAAUUCUCUUGAUGCAUGCCUUACAAAGUUGUUGAACAUGACAUUGCACUCAAAACUAGCUUUCUGCAAAAAUUUACCUAUAUCAAGCAUUGUUGUAUCUUGAACCAAAACAUGGGUUGCUUGCGAGUACAUUCAAACGUACUCACUGGCUUGUCCCUGGCUAUUUACUUGGCCAGGCUUGAAACAACAGGAUAUGAUGAAGAAUACUUCGGCGACGAGCAUGCGAACUAGGACGUUUCCCAGUCAGAAUGCCUGUAGGGUUAAGGCAGAUGGCAUGGGUUCUACUUAUCAACGAAGAUUUCCGCUGCGAUGAUACACUCAAGACUUGACCAUAAUGGUCCUACUUGUGUAAAAUGGUAUGUAUGGAUGUAAGACUCUUGUUAUUCAGCUUCUGUGUGUUUAGUGAGCAUUGAUCUCUGGGAUCACUGUACACGUGCAUUCGGUGAUCAUGACUUAUGAGUCGGGGUCCCCACAACGGCCAAUAUCCGCGGGGACUUAAUCUUCAAUGGAUUCGGGCCUGCGCCAGGAGCGCCGGACAGUCACGAUGAGCAUGGCUUAGACCUGCUAUCAGACAAUGCUCGGGAUAUCGCCCCUGCAGGAGCCCCGGACCUAAAUCCAGGGCAGAUUGCGUUGCCCGAAGAUGGGUGGAUGGACCCCACCCCCGAGGUCGCACACUCAUCGGCAGUAGAGCCGAACACAGACUUCACCCCCAAGGAAGCCUGUGACACCGGACAGCUGGAUUCGUAUCCGGCUGUAGGUUCCGUUCCGCGCACCCCCGAGCCCGCCGAAUAUGGUUGGGCUCCGGUAAUGGAGUUCACCGCUGCGGAUAUCUUCCAGCACUCGCCCUUUGGCGACAUGUUGAACUCAUUAAAAACUCUCUCUUUGUCAGGAGACUCUUGGUCGAACUAUGUCUGGCUCGAGUGGCAAGCAGGCGACGAAGGAAUUCGUCGCCCACCCCCACCCACUUCAUUGCCACCGAUGAUUUAACCGACGUGCUUGAUUUCUACUCUGAAGACAUCGACGGUAUGGACAAUGAUGUAGGAGCAGAACAGGAACCACCGCCUACGAGGCGGUGGACAGCCACCUCCUCAUAUGAUAUAUAUAUGGUGGACACUCCGAAAGAAACCAAUGGAGAUGAGUCAAUGGAGGAUAACCCCUCAAGGAAGAAAGCAAAGCAUGGGCGUCGUCGGCGCUGCUCCAAGCCCCUCCACAGCAAUACCGGCACAGGAGACGAAAACCCGGAGGGUGCCGAAGAUGAAUACAACCCCGAUCAGCCUGCCUUCGAGGAGGUCGAACAGGAAGACAGGCAGGUCAGCACGGACGAACAGGCGACGGAUGGAUAUCCGGAGGAGGAUAAUUACAUGCCCCCUCCGAAGACGAGAUUUGCCUCGGCGACGAUGAGCUUGGCGUGCCUGAGGACCCCGUGGAGCAGGAGCGCUUCAAGCGCCAGCUUAUGGCCACUGCGAGAAGCCUGAAAAAGAAGCAGCAGCAGAUCCAAGCUGAUCAAGACCUGCUCACAGACAGAUAGACUGAAGUCCUGGCAUCUAAGGAAUAUGGACUCGAGAGCCACACAGCUGACCGGCCACCUCGUGGCCAGGAUAAAAUGGCGUAUCAGCCCGAACACCAGCCCGCACCCCCACGCCAAUACACUACGGCCUGGGGCAAUUGGCAGGACCUGCAAGAUAUACUGGAAAACAAGGUAGGACAGCCAAGAUCGAUCUACGGAUCGCGGGGGCGUGCCCCAGCACGUAACGAUGAUCGUUACGCCGGAUACACUGUCGACAAGUCCGGAUGGGCCGAAUACAGCCAACCGGACUCAGUCGAACUGCAUAGCCACAUAGCCCGGCAUAGAGGCGCCGCACACCCCCUCUGCUUCACUGACGAAGUGAUGGAUCAUGAAUUCCCAGAAGGGUUUAAACCCGUAAACAUCGAAUCAUACGAUGGCACAAUAGACCCCACAGUAUGGAUCGAAGAUUUCCUUCUCCAUAUUCACAUGGCCCGCGGUGACGAUCUACACGCCAUCAAGUAUCUCCCCCUUAAGCUCAAAGGACCAACCCGGCACUGGCUAAACAGCCUGCCGGCAAAUUCCAUUGGCAGUUGGGAGAACCUGGAGGACGCAUUCCUCGACAACUUCCAGGGCACGUACGUGCGACCACCGGAUGCCGAUGACUUGAGCCACAUUACCCAACAGCCCGGAGAGUCAGCCAGGAAAUUCUAGACUCGGUUCCUAACCAAAAAGAACCAAAUAGUCGACUGUCCAGACGCCGAAGCCCUGGCGGCCUUCAAGCAUAAUAUCCGUGAUGAGUGGCUCGCCCGACACCUCGGCCAGGAAAAACCAAAGUCCAUGGUGGCCCUCACGACACUCGUAACCCGCUUUUGCGCGGGCGAGGACAUCUGGUUGGCUCGCAGUAGCACCAUGCCAAUAAAUUCCGGCGCCUUAGAUGUCCGCGACAAUAAUGGCAAGCCAUGGCGCAACAGACGUAAGCGACAGAACAACGGCGACAACACUGGAGACACGGCAGUCAACGCCGGAUUCAGUGGCUCGAAAUCCGGUCAGCGGAAAAAGGCGUUCAAAAUAAAUAAUCAAGGACCGUACAGUCUGGACCGCAUACUUGACCACUCGUGCCAAAUUCUUGGCACCCAGGAUAAGCCAACAAACCACACUAAUAGAGACUGCUGGGUGUUCAAACAGGCCAGUAAAAUAAACGGCAAAAACAAGGACAAGGGGCUGCACAGCGACGAUGACGAGGAGCCCCGGCGUCCGAACACGGGGGGACAGAAGAAAUUUCCUCCCCAGGUGAAAACAGUCAACAUGAUCUACGCCACCCACAUUCCCAAACGGGAACUGAAGCAAGCUCUACGGGACGUCUAUGCGAUGGAGCCAGUCGCCCCAAAAUUCAACCCAUGGUCAGCCUGUCCGAUCUCCUUUGAUCAUGGGGAUCACCCUACCAGCAUCCGUCACGGUGGUUCAGCCGCACUGGUCCUAGACCCUAUCAUCGAUGGAUUCCACCUCACGCGAGUCCUUAUGGAUAGCGGCAGCAGCCUGAACCUGCUCUAUCAGGACACAGUGCGCAAAAUGGGCAUCGACCCUUCGAGGAUCAAGCCCACCAAAACCACCUUCAAAGGUUUAAUUCGAAGAGUAGAGGCCCGUUGCAUGGGCUCCAUAACACUGGAAGUGGUCUUCGGAUCUCCGGAUAACUUCCGAAGCGAGGAGUUAAUCUUCGACAUCGUCCCCUUCCGUAGUGGUUAUCACGCACUGCUUGGAAGAACAACAUUUGCUCGAUUCAAUGCGGUACCACACUAUGCAUACCUCAAGCUCAAGAUGCCAGGACCUCACGGGAUCAUAACAGUGAACGGAAACAUGGACCGCUCUCUCCGUACAGAAGAGCAUACUGCAGCCCUCACAGUAGAAGUACAAGGCAGCCUCCUCUGGCAAACCACCAAUCCGUCGACAACAGCCCCGAACACCGUCAAGCGAGUCCGGAGUACCCCACAACAGGAUCGCCAGGCACGCCAAGAGUGCGACUAGCAGUCCGGCCUCCGCUCCAGCACCAUCAAGGCAGCAUUCGUGUCGCGCGUACACAAUUAUGCACUCAAAAUAGCAUGGGCAUAGGCGGAGGCGCAAUAGUGACUCAGUCAACAGUGCGGUACAGCCGCAACAUACUUUAAUAACCCCCUUUUAUAUUUCAGGACACUGCUUUCGGGCAGCUCUUCAGAAGAGCCGAAUUGUCGGACUUGCACAGGAGAGAAAAACCAAGGAAGCAAAAGGUUUUGCGCACAAAGGGAAUACCCAGGUGGAAUCUAUUACUAGUUUUAUAUACCUACAUGCGGCCCGCCCUUGGAUAGGACAUGUUAAAUAGUCCUAUUUACUUCUGCUUAACGCAUUCAUUGUAAACAUACACUUAGAUGUAUUAUUCAUCAAUGGGAGAUAAUAUAUAGAGUCAGCUUAUUAUUCCUAUUUUCACAUUUUUCCUAUAAAUGUUAAUUUAAUAUUGCAUCCGUACACCUUGGUACAUUUAGUUUGCCAGGGGCUUCUUAUGGCGCCCCAUAAUACGGCAAGACAAGUCCGAACACUUUCAACAGUGCGGCACCCCGAACUUAUAGCAUUAUAUGCAUCAGCUCCGAAUCAUGUCUUGGGUCAAUAGUUGGGUGUGCCCGGCUCCCUUAUUUUGGUACCUUACGUUCCGUUAUAUCGGCUAAGGUAGUGCAGGGAGAACUAUUGUGAUUGUGUCCCGGUUCUUGUGGACAAGCACCUCAGUAGAGAAAGCCGAAAACUGACCGGCGUGAUGCAGCGAGAGCUGGUCGCUGUUCGAGAGGUCUUAAAAUCCUUAAAGAUUUUUCCACUUUAGGCGAGGAAUCGGCCUCGUUCGAUUUAGGCGUAUAUAGCGCCCCAAUUCGGCUCUCUGAAUUCCUAGGGGCUUCGCCAAAAUUUAUAAUUGUAGACUUCUAUGGCUAAGUGAAAGUUAUAAAGCCGCAUAGUACGAUUACCUUGUUCGCUGCGCCAAACACCUCCUUCAGGGACCAAAUAUUUGGAUAAAGAGUGUCUGGGUUUUUUCCAGGAACACCCCGGUACUAGUUAUGUGGGAGCGGAAGCCGACGACUGGCCUACUUUCAGAAUUUUAUAAACAGCCGCACAGAAGGUAAUAUUUUAAAUCAAAAAAGCGCUAUAUAGCGCAAAUAACUUCGUCUUUAUAUUACAACAACGACAGAAGUACAUUCACUCAAAGAUCGUGUCCUUGGUACAUUCAUCGGCCACGAGACGAGCGCCUUUCAUAACACCAUCAUAAUAUUUUUCAGGAUAGCGAUGCGCCUUGCCCUCCAGCGGUCCAUCCUUCACCAGCUUCUCCGCUUCCAGCUUGCCCCAAUGCACCUUCGCACGGGCAAAGGCUCGGCGGGCACCCUCAAUGCAAAUGGAUCGCUUGAUCACUUCAAGCCACGGACAGGCAUUUACCAUCCACUUUGUCAGGCCAAAGUAGCUGGCGGGUAGGGGCUCACCAGGCCACAUCCGGACUAUGAAAUUUUUCAUAGCCACUUUGGCCGCCCUGUGGAGUUCAACCAAUUGCUUCAAUUGGUCACUCAGAGGCAUCGGGUGUUCGGCUCCGGCAUACUGGGACCAGAACAGCUUCUUCGUUGAGCUCCCCUCCUCGGCACGGUAGAACUCCGCGGCAUCUGAUACGCUGCACGACAGGUCUGCGAAUGCCCCUAGAGAGCUCUGAAUUCGGUAAGUAAAAGAAACGUCUCCUCCACAUGCUUGCUUUGCAUAAAUAAUGUCUUACCCGCCGCUAUCUUCUUGGCCGCCUGGAUUUCCUGCUGGGCCUUUUCGGCUUCGGCCUUGGCGUCUUUCAUGCUCAACAGGGCCUUCGCAAGUUCAGACUCCUUCAUCUUGAAGUCAUGCUCCAAGGACUCGAAUUUCUUGCCGAGCUCCUGGAGCUCUUGCUGUACCUCGCCCACCCUAGCAUUUUGCUUUUCACGCUCAAUGCACUCCGUGGCCGCCUUGUUUUCGGCCUCGGAUAACGCUUUCUUCGGGGACGCCACUUCAGUCGUGGCCCCUAUUACACAAUCAUGACCCUUUUUCGUUAGCAUCGCCAAUUUUGUCUAUUCUUUGUGAUAUGUGAAUGGGGUAUCACUCACCUUUGUUCUCUUCGAGCUGCCUCUUCGUGAGGCUGAGCUCUCCUUGGGCCUGCUCCAGGUCCUAUUUGACUCCGGAGACCUCCGCUGUGCGGGCAGCAGCAGUAAGCAGCACCGCCUGCUUAUUCACGUAGACACCUACUAUUAGACUCCUGUGGAUUUUAAUUGACCCUCCGUUUGGCUUUUCUUUCCGAACACCAAACAGAGUAUCAGGGGCUACUGUCUAUCGGGUGCUAAUUUCCCAAACUUUUAAUUACUUACCUCAAAGCCUGUUAGGAGGCUGGUGCAGGCUUCAGUCAAUCGGCUUUUGGCAGACUGAACCCUCUGAUCCACCACACUCAUAAGAGUACGGUGCUCUUCAUCCAUGGAAGCGCCGCGAAGCAAUUCCAGCAGACUAUCCGACGCCUCUGGCAUAACAGAAGUUAUCAGCAUGGAUGGCUCACCUUCCUUGGCAAGGGGCUGCCUGCCCGAAUCCGGAACCUUUGGGGAUUCCAGUAUAGUGUCCGGCUGGGAGUCCAGCGUGCUGCGGCUCCCGUCGGCACAAUCCGCGGGAAUCUUACGCCCCGUGUGCCCGGCGUCUGGAAUUUCACCUCGGGGCGUCUCCAGAGUCGCCUCCCCCUGCUCCGGGAGCCUUUGGGACAACAUCUCCGUGUCAUCCACAAGCCGAGGGGAAGUGGCCAUUGGGAGCGAGUUCAUCGCUGAAUCGGUCAAGGACCUAUGCGAAGAGGAUACCUCGGGAUGGACCCUGGCCGGACUGCAUAUACGUGUUCAGCAUUAUAAUAGACUAUGACGUGAAAUCGCACUAAAGUACAACAGAGUGCAGAUACUUACGAUCUUACUAGGGGCUUCCCCCUGGGAAGCCACUCCUCCUCGCUGUAGGCGGCCGUGGUGGAGUAAUCCGGAAGGGACGCCUUUCCCUUCUUGGGCGUCCUAGCUCCCCCUCUGGGGCGGCUUUCCUUUUCUUCUCCUCCCCAGUGCGGGGAGCCGGAGUUUCCUCGUGUUUCCCCCCGCCUCCGCGGGAGGAAUCUGCCUCGUCGUCUUCAAACAACGAGUUUAUGAUGGCCUUGUGCCGGGGACCCUUACUAGUCCCCUGGGUCGCCCUCUUAGGCCCUUCGGCCCCCUCCGGUGGGGCGGCCCCCUCCUUUUCCUCCUCCCCUUCGGGGGAGGAGUGUGCCUUGUCAUCUUUGGACAAGGCAUCCAGUACGACCUUACACCAGAGACCCUUCUUGGUCCCCUGGGACUUCUUUUCGGCCUUCUUUUCUGACGCCUUGUAGGGCGCCGGGACUAGCAUCUCUGUCAGGAGAGCAUCUGCUGGACCCUCCGCCAUCUCCAUGUACUCCUGAUUAAAUAUACACGAUGACUUAAGAUCCUCCCAUGAGUACGCUGGAAAAAACUACAUAUGGUGAUAGUCAGAAAACUCACCGGACGGGGGAGCCGCGUGGCGUGAAGUCCGCGGUCCUCGGACGUGGGAGGAGGUAUUUCGGAGGCCUUGAAUAGUGCCUUCCAUGCGUCCUUGUGUGUCGUGCCGUAGAGCUCUUGAAGUGUCUGGUGUUCGGCUGGGACGAACUCCCACAGAUUAAAUGCCUGUCUUUUGCACGAAAGAAUUCGGCAGACGAGCAUGACAUGGACCAUGUUGACAAGCUUGAUUUUCUUGUCCAUCAUGUUCUUGAUGCAGUUUUGAAGUCCGGUCAGCUCCACAGGCUCACCCCAGGCCAGAGCCUUCUUUUCCCAAGAGGUGAGCCGCAUGGGAAUUGUGGAUCAGAAUUCGGGGGCCGCUGCCCAGUUGGCGUCGUGUGGCUCGGUGAUGUAGAACCACCCUGAUUGCCACCCUUUCACGUUCUCCGCGAAGGAGCCGUCGAGCCAGGUAACAUUGGGCAUCUUGCCCACCAUGGCGCCUCCGCACUACACUUGCUGGCCGCUCACGAUCUUCGGCUUCACGCAGAAGAUUCGUAGCCACAAGCCGAAGUGAGGCUUGAUGCGGAGGAAGGCCUCGCACACAACGAUAAACGCCGAGAUGUUGAGGACGAAGUUUGGGGCCAGAUCGUGGAAGUCUAGCCCAUAGUAAAACAUGAGCCCGCAGACAAAGGGAUGAAGUGGAAAUCCCAGUCCAUGGACGAAGUGGGCAAGGAACAUGACCCUCUCGUGGGGUCCCGGAGUCGGAAUGAUCUGCCUAGCGUCCGGCAGAUGGUGCGCAAUAUCUGCGGCCAAGUAUCCGGCCGCCCGGAGCUUCGUGAUAUGCUCCUCCUUGACGGUGGUGGCCACCCACUUGCCUCAUGCUCCGGACAUGUUUGGCUGUGCGGAGGAGGUGUGAACUAGGGCGUUGGAGCUCGAGGGGGCAAGAAUGGGUAAGCGAUAGAGGAAGAAGGCGUGGGUGAAAAUGGGCAAUCCUUAUCCCUUUAUAGAGGCGAUGAAAAUGGUGCACCUCCCCACUUGCCCGUUGAGGAUCACUUAAUUCCCAAGCGCCACGAUUGAUGGCGCAGUUGGGUUACCCAUACCCGUAUUGAUGGGAAUCCCGUGAUAAGGGGACAUGAUCUCUUCUUCGACAAGACGUGUCGAGGAAACCGCCUCGCAAUAUGCGCUGUGGCUAGUUAUGGAAAAAUGGUUCGAAUAAAUGACCCGACCGUAGUGUCAUGUCACGUUGUCUAAAGUUGUCAACAGAUUACAUUUGUGGAAUAUCAUUAUCUCUACGGUGGUAUGUGAAGAUCAUCUUGCAGAAUCCGGACAUGAUUUUAGUGUUCGAUAAUUACUUUGGGGUAUUCGGAGAUGGAACCCGCCUUGCAAUGCCGAAGACAAUCUACGUGCCGGACUCAUCUUCAUUGAAGCCUGGUUGAGGGGCUACUGAGGGAGUCCUGGAUUAGGGGGUAUCCAGACAGCCGGACUAUGUACUUUGGCCAGACUGUUGGACCGUGAAGAUACAAGACUCAAGACUUCGUCCCGUAUCCGGAUGGGACUCUCCUUUGCGUGGACGACAAGCUUGGCGAUCUGGAUAAUAGAUUUCCUUCUUUGUAAUCGACUUUGUGUAAACCCUAGCCCUCUCCGGUGUCUAUAUAAACCAGAGGGUUUAGUCCCUAUUGGACAAUCAUAAUCAUCAUAGGCUAGCUCCUAGGGUUUAGCCUCUACGAUCUCGUGGUAGAUCAACUCUUGUAAUACUCAUAUCGUCAAUAACAAUCAAGUAGGAAGUAGGGUUUUACCUACAUCAAGAGGGCCCGAACCUGGGUAACACAUCGUGUCCCUUGCCUCAUGUUACCAUUAGCCUUAGACGCACAGAUCGGGACCCCCUACUCGAGAUCCGCCGGUUUUGACACCGACAGGGACCCCCGUGUUUUGUUUCGAUAUUUCAGUGUAGGAUGGUCUUUUUGAACAAACACUUUCUGCGGUUAGACAAAUAACGCCACGAGUUACACGUAUUUUGCAAGUUUACGAACAAAAAUGACAGUGGCAUAGAAUAUCACAUCCACCCCGUAGCUUAGAUGCUAUGGUGAUACGAGUUUUUACGUUGUUGGAAAUGAGAUCCAAUGGCUUGGGAAUAGUCUUUGUAAUUAUGCGCAAUUUCCAAACUCACCAAAGGUUUUUUUUGCAAAUAUAACAUUUAGGCCUCGUGUGUGUCGCUGCAUCUUGGAUCCAACGGCUCCCCGUUGCUCAUAUUAGGUGCUCUCCGAAGCUUAAUUAGUCGCUACGGUGAUAUGAGCAUCUAGGUCGUAUGAUCAGUGAUCAGAUAGCACAUGCGUAGUACUUGUACUUUCUGCGCAAUUCCCAAACUCUCCCAGCCAUAUAUUGCAAAAACAUUGAAACCUCCUAUUGUGGGCCAUUAUAUCUAUAUGAACUCGUAUCACCAUAGAAUCUAUAGUGCGGGAGCACCUCAUAUUCUCCCGUGUGAGAAAACAUAAGGUGCUCUCGCAGCUUGGAUGCUAUGAUGAUACGAGCUUCGAGGUUGUUUGAUCUGAGAUCCAAUGCCAUCUGAGCAGUCUUUGUGCUUGUAAGUAGUGGCCAAACUCUUUGGAGGCUUUUCGGCAAAAAAACAUUCGAACCACCGAGGAGUUGUUGGGUCACAAAUCCAACGGCUCCGAAGAGCUUGUAUCACCAAAGCAUCUGAGGUGUGGUAGCUCAUGAUAUUCUAACGUACAUGAGAAUAUGAUGUCCUCCUUCAUCUUAGUUGCUACGGUGAUACGAGAUUCGAGGUUGUUGGAUAUGGGAUCCAAGGGCAUCUGAGUAGUUUUUUUAUACAAAUUGUGUGUAAUUCUCAAACUCAUCAAGGUUUCCUUUAAAAAUAUUAAGACAUCCUGUGAGCUGCUAUAUCUCAGAUCUAGAAGCUCCAAGCAACUCGUAUCGGCAUAUAGCAUCUAAGGUAUGGGGGCACAUGAUAUUCUCCCGGGGAGGGGGGGGUGCACUACCAAUCGAUGUUUGGGAGGGUGGGGACAAAUAUAAUCUAAACAAUCCUAAAUAGAGAUUCACAAUUUUAUCUAAGGUCGAGGGGUUAAUCCCGGACAAUCUACAUGGUUCUGCCUAAACACAACAUUUGCAUGUACUGUAGUACUAGACUUAAUAUUCAUGUUUCAGUUUCCUGUUCAUUUUUAAUAUUGAAUUGAGGACCAUGCUUGUCUUACAUUUUACCCCCUUCGUUCCUAAAUAUUAGUCUUUUUAGAGAUUUUGAAUGGACUGGCAUCUCCGUGAUGUAUAUAGACAUAUUUUAGAUUGUAGAUUCACUCAUUUUGCUCCGUAUGUAGUCACUUGUUGAAAUCUCUAAAAGACUAAUAUUUAGGAACAGAAGGAGUAUUUGUGAAUUCGUGUCAUACAUGCAGGGUUUGGAAAAAUAGAUGCACUAUACUUAUUGGAUUGUUGUUGUGUUCGUGUGUGUGUGUGUGUGUGUGUGGUCAUAUGCUUGAUACAUACAAAGUUUUCUCACCACCAUAUUGUUCAUCUUUAAAUUUGAAUUUGCAAUGAAAAACUUACUAGGGAUACCAUGAAAUGUGAAAUCCAUGUUGAGAUCACUAUAUCACAAACUCACUCUAAUUCAAGAACUCGUCAUAAAUCAAUUACCACGUUGAGAUUACUAUUUGCAAGGAAAAUACGGGCAUUGUAAUACACAUAGAUUCGUUUGGCAAUUUAAAAGAUUCCUUUUGUAUUCUCAAAUGGUAGGACCCAACGGCGUACCAACUAGACCCUGGCUCGUGUUGAUCCGAAAAUACACCAGGCUCAUGUCCUUCUGGUGGCGUGCGUGGUACGCACAUUAGGCAACCCCAACCCAUCGAGCCUCCGCGUUUUGAUUUGAAAUAUUUGGCGGCCAGAAUUCCAGCCCUAGGAAAUUCCCCUCAUGUCCCCGGUCCAUAAUGACUACCGAUGAACAAUAGAGGGAUGCUUUAGUAACUAGACAACGUUACCUACCGUGCCGAGCCCGGUUCAAUUCCCUUGGUCGCCGCUCCCCAAGGUCACCCGUCGUCUGCAUUACCUAGUACUACCACUACUACACCAGGAUGAGCACAGAUUUGAGCCCGUUUGUUCGUGCCUAGUACUUGAGUUAAUAUAUAAGGCAACGCACUGGUACGGAGGGAUUAUCCUUUUACUCUGCAUAUAUAACUUGUCUGAAGUUUAACUAAGCAAAAUGUUUGACCAAAUCCUUUCUUAAGAAAUACAACAGGACAGAUGUAUGGCUUGAAAAUUUAUUGCAUGAUGCAGGUUAUGAUAUUUUUUCGAAUCCUGGAUUUUAAAUUUCAAAAAAUCCAAAAGUGACCAGAAAUUAAUGAAACUGAGCAUGGUCAUGUAAUAUGGCAAAAAUAUUCCUUCGUAAUUUUUUCUUCAAUUUCAGACAAGCUGCUUAUGACAAGUUGCACAAAUGAAGAGCCAAGGUAUUUUGGAACAAAGACCUAUCACGUUAAGGCGAACACUUUCACUAUUGAAAUCGUGGGCAUUUACGUGCCGCCACGAGUCCUGCUUCUCAUCAGCAGGUGCCGUUCGAGCAAGCAUGUCAGUCGACGGGAGGCGUGCGAGCAGACCACUGCACCGGCUGACAAUGAGGCAUGUGAGCAGACCGCUGUGCAGGCUCACCGGGAGGCAAGCCCUUUGACCAAGCUCCGCCGCCCACCUUCGUCCCAAGUGCUCCCACUUUUAAUGUCACUGGUGCCGCAGUUUAAAAUCAACCCCGCACUACCCGGUAUCGCUACAAUCUUCUCUCUUCCUCUCCGAUUCUCCUGUCGUCUACCUCCAACCAGCCUGACCUAAACAUACGCCAUGCCGCAUCACGAUGGUCUGCCCUUAGUCUUCCAGUUUCCUGAGGAAGACACCCAGCCGGAGUCCCAAGAACAUAAGGCGCUUUGGGACGAGCUUCAACCGGCCUUGCGGGAAGACGUCGCGCCUGUUCCCGCUUCCGUUUCGGCUCCCGUCACCCCGACUGCACCAGCGCCUAUUUUCGUGGCAUUGAUGGGCUGGGAGCCGCACAUUGUCGCCGAGCUUGAUGCCACGGGGUUCCACGAGGUCCUCGCCGACUUUCACGCGCCCGUGCACCUGCCAGCACAUGUGUCUGCGUGUGCACUGACGCGCACGCCCAUGCCGGUGCCCCUGCACUUGCCAGCGCAUGCACUUGCACGUGCACUAACGUGCGCGCCUGUGACGAUGCCCUGCACAUGAAUGUCUCUGCCACGCCGUUGCCAGCGCAUGUCCCCGCACGGGUGCUAGUGCCCCCCUCAGCGGCAUUGAUGGCCGCCGUCGACCGCUUCCUUGCACCAACACUAGUCGCCUCCUCCCGCCAGUUGACUCGCUCCUGGAGACCGAAGUCCAGAACAUUGUGGCCUUUCUUGAAGCUAGGGCCAACGUCCAGGAGUACCCCAACAACGGCGCAAGAUGCUGCCGUGCCGUCGCCGUCGGUCAGUGGACCGACAACACAUAGAGCACGGCAGAGGAGCCGCUUCCCACCGCAAGACGCCCCCGCCACCGCCGUGUAAUCUAAAUUUGUCAUGAAAAACGUUCGGAUUUCCAUGCUUAAAAUCUGAAUGUUUAUCAUUUCCAUUUAUUUUAGAUCGAUCGUCGUAUGAAUGUAAAGUCGGAGUCAGACUGAAUGAAAUCUACGGUUCGAUCAAUUGAAUGUUCUGCUAGAGCCGUAUCAAAUUAAAUAUAAAACAUCAUCAAGCCACAUGCAUUCCUUCUCAUCCAGCGACCUAGACUGCUUCAAUGUCGAGCGCUCAACACAUUUAGCGUGCAGUUAAUUUCAUGCCAAAAAUAGUGCUAAUCACAUAAUAACACGCAAAUAAUAUCCUACUUAAUAUCCGUAUGCACUUAAGAUACUUCCAAAUUAACGUGCAUUGCAUGUACACAUUGACUAGUGCUACUAGUAUGUGAAACUGGUGUUGUAACUUGUGAACGCGUCCAGAUAUGGUCAACGGCAACAUCGCCCGCGAGUUCUUCAUCUUUGCCCGUGCGUCUAAACGCAGAAGGGGAGGAGAGAGAGAGAGCACACAUGGAACCCACCAGUAAGUGAAGGCGAAUAGUACAUGCUAACGAGCCGGUCCCACUAAUGUACUAAAAAUAAUAUUACAUGUUAUAUAUUAAAUAGAGUGUGGUAAUAUAAAAACAUUAUAUGAACAAAGGGGGGUACAACAAACAUUGAUGUUCUACGUAUGUUGCCUAUUGACAUGCGACUUGAAGGCCCUGGUCGCAUGUUCGAUCCUCGUCCUUUAUUUUUAAAUUUGUAUAUGGGUCCAAAUUUGUUUCAUGACAGGUGGGCCCCUUAGUGUGUAGUUUGUAGCACUUUAAUUUGUGGGUCAAAAUUUGUUCCAUUCCAAGUGGACUAUUGUUGUGUAGUUUUGUAGCUUAUUUGUAAUAAUUAAAGAGAACAACAGAGUUUUUGUAAUAAUACCAUGGUGCGACGUUGAAGGUGAGAAAGGACGUGCGAGAGAGCGAUGACCGAGCCAGAGGGAAAUCAACUGGGGAGGUGCGGGGAUUGCGACGGUGUUUGGAGUAGUUGUGGGCCGAAUGCUAUGAAAAUAUAAUCUAAACCCACCGGAAUAAAUGCCUACACAAAUUAAUCCAAGGUUGGAGUCCCCCUCCUAAUGUAAAUAGCUCCGGCUUUGCGAGGGAUGGAGAUGCAGCUUCAAUGUGUGGAAGAUACAGUGUGAGAAAGCGAGGUCAAUCAAGAGACAUAUAGAUAGAGAGACAAAGUGAGUGUGUUCCGACAUUCAUUGAAAAGAUACAUAUGCUCUGGAGAGAUAUUGUCCGAUUGGGCUUUCGGGAAGGGUGAGGGCUGUAAGAUAGAGCUUGAGAGAUGAUCCACUCACAGACAUGUAGAUAUAUUUUGUGCGUGGGAGGAGGCAAGGUCAAUCGAUUACAUAUAUAAAGGGAGAGAGAUUGAGUGAGUGUGGGUCGUCAUGCGAUCGAAUGAGUGAGACGGGUUGGAGAGAGUGACCUAGAUAGACAAGGUGCAUGAGAGAGUAUACAAUAUGAAUAUGUCAAAUUGGGCUCAGGCAUGGAGAUAUAUCGUUUGUGUCCGAGAAAGAGCAAGGUCAAUCGAGACAUACACACACACACACACACACACACACAGAGAGAGAGAGAGAGAGAGAGAGAGAGAGGAGGGAGGGAGGGAGGGAGAGAGAGAGAUUGAGCGAGUGUGGCCCGCCAUGAGGUCGAAAGAGUGGGGGCGACUUGGAUGGACUGACCUAGAUAGACAAUCUGUGUGAGAGAGUAUAGAGUGUGUCGAUCGAGGCCCGAAUAGGGAGAUAUAUCAUUUGUGUGUGAAAGAAAACGAGGUUAAUCGAGACUCAGAUAAAGAGAGAGAUAUUGAGCAAGUGUGGCCCGCCGUGUGGAAGAAAGAGUGAGACAAUCUCGAGGGAGUGGCCUAGAUAGAGAACGUGCAUGUGUGCGCAUGAGAGGUUGGGGGGCUAGAUAGGCAAUGCAUGUAUCUAGCGCGAGAGGGUGGGAGGGAGGGAGAGAGAGAGAGAGAGAGCUCGGCAUGGGGUGCAAUGGCGGGUGUGUGAGGUAAAUACAUUUGGUAACAGAGUGGAAAAGGGGGGUUGUGUAGUUAAAAGAGUUAGAGAUCGAAACAUGGAGAGAGUUAGAGAUCAAAACAUGGAGAGAAAGAAUGAACAUGUGUCGGAAACUGAUAGCUUCCUAAGGUGGUUAGGAGAGGAAGAUUGACCGAUACAGGAAGUAUGUAGCGUGUGUGCCGGGGGGUGGGGCUAAAAACAACAUUUGAAUGUAGAUAGUACGAGACUUAAUAUCGAUGUUUCAAUUCGGUGUACAUUGUAAGAUUUGCACUGAGGACCAUGCAUAUGGGUAAUUAUUUCGAAUUCAUGCCAUACUAGGUUUGGAAAAGUUGACAUUGACUCGAUUGUUGUGCUAUUUUGUAGGUCAUAUGUUUGAAUCCAUCCAAAAGUUUUCUCACUACCAUGGUGUUCCUCAUAUAGAUAUGAAUUUGUAUUAAAAAAGUAGCUCGAUACAGUGAAAUGCGAAAUCCAUGUUAGAAUUGGAGAUCGUUAUGUGACACACACUCUAAUUCAAAUAACUACUUAUGUGACACACACUCUAAUCCACGUUAGCGUGGAUACCGUGGAUACCGUUUCGAUUUUUUUCAAAUAACUCCUCAUUAAUUAAUUUAUAGUAUUCUCGUUUCGAAUGACUAAAUUAUUUGCAAGGAAUACAGAGGCAUGGUAAUACAUAUACAUUCGUUUGCAAAUGAAAGAAGAUCUGUUUGCAUUCUCAAAUGUAGGCGUACCAGGCAGACUAGGGCCGUGUCGUGGUGGUCGUGUGUGUCGGACGGACGCUUAGCACCCAGCCACCCACCCCCUCCCUCCCUCCCCCUCCCUCCCAAAAAAAGGACGACGACAAAAUAAAUUCGCGCUUCCACGUUUUGGAUUGAAAUAUUUGGCUGCCCCAAUUCCAGCCCUACAAAAUCUCUUUCUCCACCACCCACUUCCGCGCCCAGAUUGCUUAAAUCCCUAAUUCACUGCCAACCCAAGCAAAGUUUGAAUCGCCCCUUGUCUCGUCUCUUUCUCCACCUCUGUGCCGAACGACGACGACGAAGACGACGGUCGCGCUUCACCACCGCAUUGGAGCUACCUAGUCUACGCCCUAUUCUACCGCACCGGGUGGUCCACCGACAACGUUGGCCGCUGCAACCGACGUGCCUUAACACACCGACUUCCACCGCAUCAGGUGCGCUUCACCGACGCCGUCUCCCACCUCACCGAGGCUACUUCACCGAGCACAUCGUCGCACCUCCGCCCCCCCCCUAGGCCGUUGGGGCUUCACCAACGGUAUCGUCCACCUCAUCAUAGUGCUCCACUACCACUCAAGAUCUGCACCCAUGCGUGGCCAGCCAACGCAAGCGCAUCACCCUCAACGGCUCUGAAGUGACCCGCACUCUAGCUAAGUGAGCAUGCCCAAACGCCGGCCCGAACUAGAUGUCCACACAUCACUCCCUUGUGCACUUUUUCGAUGAUGUUUGGAUAUCCUUUCAUUGCUCUCUUAGCUUACACGCCUAUGCAACUCUGACUUUAACUCUUAUUUCUUUUGGAGAUAUCAUCUAAAACAAGCAAAAUCAAUUUUUAGCGAAGCAUGAUGGUGCUACGUGAUCUGGUACAGAUCCUGCACACCUGUAUAACCUUGGAAGUAUCUGUCCUCCGGUACAACAACAAGGUCGAUUCCUCUUAUUUGAUCAACCAUUCGCCAAGUCAAAAAUGCAGAGGGGGAUGCAAGGAGCACAAGGCCUGCACAUCCAAGCAAGUGGAAACAAGGACUUGUAUAUGGAACAUCCCAAGCACAAGUAGAGCUGCAGUGAGCCUGUACAACAAGCUAGCGUAAGUCCCUACAUUUCAUUUAAUUCAUACUGGCAUGCGUGUAUGAUUUGUGUGUAGUGGCGGAUCCACGAAUUCAAGUUACUAGGGGAGAACAUAUAACUUAAAAAAUACGAAGGCACUUGCACUCCGAAAAUCAACAUAACUUGAGAAAUGUCAAGCUACAUGCACUUCGAAAACCAGCUAAUGAUCCGAAGUAGUUCAGAUUAUAAAACACUAAAUGAUGCAAGCACCUAAAAACACAAAAUGCAACAUGGUGUACACGGACUACAAAUAUGGUAUGUACCUACUUGAAUUAUUCGUUCUCUGGCUGAAAAUAUCAAAGUGUAAUUGCACCUAUAACCAAUGUGCAAACUGCAUAUCAAUAGAUCUAUCCUGCACAAGUAUGCCAAUAGUUUCAAACAAUAGACUAGAAAAGUAUUUAUGCUAUGUUGUCAUGAUACGGGGACUUUCUGGUAGAUGGCCUCGACGUUUCCUCAAGCCAUGAAAAUGUACUAUAAUUUGCUUAUCAUCAAUGCCUGCAAAUCUCUAUGUCUCUCUCAACAUAGCAGAUCAUCAUUAGACACUGAAUCCUUCAAUGGGAGCUUGCAAAAUGCUUGCAUUAGAUCCCUCAUUAGACACUAUAUGUUCAUCACCAGGAGCAUGUAAAAUGUUUGCAUCAAGUCAUUCAUUAGCAUUCUGUUCAUUAGACACUUCGGGCUCAAGAACAACAUGAGCUUGUAUGUUUGCACUGGAAACUUGAUUAGAUACAUCAGAUUCAGUCAGUUCAGUAUUGGUUGGGGGAGUUAUAAAAUAAGCAGAAAUUGGUUUCAUUUUCUCAUAGAUUCCCUACACACAAGCAGUUUUACAACACCAUCAGGUUUAACUAUUGGCAAUAAAUUGAACAGUUGAAUUAGAUAUAAUCAGGGAUGUUAUGUACCUGCUUGUUGCGCAUGCUACUCUUGCAAGCUGUGACUGUCCGUUUGCACAAGCUCGAUGCCAUGCCCGUGCUGCCACUGCUGCCUCCCACGCAGGCUACACCUAGGGUUGGAUCUUCAUCUUCUUGUCCUUCCGUUCGCUUGAAGCCUGGCGACCGCCCUCCAAUGAGGGCGCGAGGAAGUGCUGUGUCGGUCUGUCCAGCGGCGGCUAGGUUAGGAGCAAACCAGACUGGAGGCUGGAGCGAACGAAUUGGGAUUUUUCCUGCUAUCGAUCGAUAUGGGAGGCGCUUGUUUGGGCCGCGUGCCUGCUAUAGGGCCUUCCUUGCACUUAUGUUAUUGGCCCAUCCGAAUUUAAACAUUUUUCUUCAUUUUUUACAUUGCCUGCUCAUGUGUUGGGACGCAAAACUAGCCUGGGCCAACCUGGAUGACUCAAACUAGGUGCACACUUUCCAGCCACCCGAGGCGGUUGCCCAUACCAGCCCCUAUGGUGGCGUCGCCUCUUUUUGCGUGUAUGAUUGGGGUAGUGAAAAAUAUUCCAGUGGCGCUUUUGAUUUACCAACAGAAUGGUUGAAUUGCUUGUUUCUAUGAACUGAGUUCGCUAAUAAUGUGAAGGAUGCCAGUCUUUUCAUCCUAUUGUAGAUUGCUUAGAUCUCGAUAUGCCAAAUGUAAUCGCAUGAAAUAUACAGUAAAAGCUAGUGUGAUGUGUGUGGCUACAACUAUUCUGACUACACGUCCUCAUAUAAUAUAUCAAGGACGCACUAUCUUACCAGAUUAACCAUUCAACUUACCAAUGCAGUGUGGGAAGAAAGAAGUAUUGGGACGGCGUAUCCAAGCUAUUGAUGCCAUGGACUCCUUCGCAUAACCUCGUAAGCGAAAAAGAAGUUGCAGUGUGCCUGUACAAAGAUCUAGCAUAAGUUAAGUUACCUGCUUCUCGGAAUUUUAGUUGGUCACUUAUUGCAAAAUUGUCCAAUUACGUUGCUUGGUUAAUUUAGUUUACUACUGAUUACAUAAUGCCAUAGCCUGUUAAUCCUAUUAUAGACUGCGCCUAUCUAUGUGUUUGAUACUUACUGUUAAGAAUUACAUGUUUGCCUGAACUUAAAUAGCUAGUUGUUUGUUUAACUGCUUUGCUGCUGCAACAACCGGUUACAAUGAUGUUAAUAACUACUUUUCAGCAUCCAAUUGAAACUCUUUAAUUCCUUGUUCGUUUAACUGGAUUGCUGUUAUAACUCCCAAUUGAGAUGUUUUGCUAACUUCAACUUUUCUGAAUCCAACCGGAACUUUAAUGACAAAGCAGGUUAGCCCAAGAUCAAAGAGUGAGGUCCCCAUGGACGUUGUAUCAUCCCACAGCAGUAGCACUGGCCCAAUCAUGCAUUAUGAAUUGCCAACUGCUGAUGCUCUAGAGGCUAAACUAGUGGUAGAAAGAGAUUAUGCUUCUACACUUAGAGAUGAAGUUGACAUGUUGAGGAAGCAAACAACACAAUCACAAGCAGUACUCAAUACAACCAUUAAAUAUUUGGUGGAUUUCAAAACGAAGCAAGCUGAGACAGACCGCAUUGUUAAGGUCAUGAAGAAAAAAAGGAAAUUAAAUUCCCACUUGGUAAAUCAUACACGAAAUGUUCUUUCCAUCGUUGAAUAACCUUUGUGCUGUUUGUUCCUGUAAUCAAUCAAACCAUUUGUUUUAGAGAUCAUGUAAUAAUUGUUUUUUGUUUUUUGGUUUGUAAUUUUAUUUGAGCACAAGUCUGCAUUAAUUGAUAAGACUCAGAGACAUUUCAUUUUGAUUCUUGUGUCAGACCUACAAAUAUGCCAAUCGGGUUGAAUGUGCAUUCAGCAAUAAUAGUAGUAUAGAUGGACCAUAAGUCGCAUGCAUCGGAGAGGGCCAACAUGUUGUAGUAGCUUGGCUGAAAAAAGGAUGUUGUUCUUGCAAAAAAAAGUACAGCAGCCUGGCUUAUGUAUGUUAGUUGAUAUUAUUGAUCCAUAUACUCUAUAAGUGCUUAUAUGUCUGUUAGUUAUGUACAUUCUUGGUUGAUUGACUCGGUAUUUGAAUCUUGAUACAUCGCUUGUGUACAUAUCUAAAUGGGAGUACACAUUAUGUUGUGUGUGACAUUUGAGUUGGACAUACAGUGUUCCAAAUAUUCGAAUUCACCUUAAACUGGAUUCUAGCUUCUGAAUUUGAGUAUCGGCAUUUUUAAAUCAUAUUUAUAUAUGAUAGUGGAAUACAUCUUUGUCGUGCUUUUGAAGAUAUAUAAAACCACAUAUAUUGAUUUAUAAAGAUUCAUAGAGGAAUACAAAAUGGAUUUGAAUUUAGUUGCCAGGGUAAACGUUGAUGCUUAUUGUCCCAAAAUUCGAAAGAAGCGGCAAAAUGUCCACUCCCACGUCGGCAGCCCGAAGCCAAGUGUUUGGGAGAUGGAAAUUACUGUCUACCCAUUACAGUUACAAUCCAUCAGCCCAAUUUCCACUGCUCUCAAUAGGGGUAGGUUAGUAACUUUAAUUAGACAUGACACAACCGCCUCUGAGCUCAUUCGGACACGGUGGGAGCCAAACAUGGGCGGCAAAACACAUUUGAUUCAAGCUCAUCCGAAAGACGUCUGUUUGUCCCUCCAUUUCUCCAUUCAUACACGAUGGGCGGCAAAACAAACUCGACUCAGCCGAAAUCGAUGUAGGCAAAUAUUUUUAAUAGGGGCAGGUUUGUAACUUGACUCAGACGUGACACAACCGUGCUACCUGUCAGCCCCGUUCAUACACCGUGGGCGCCAACCAUGGGCUCCAACCACCCUCUCCUCGCCCGAAAUCGCUCUAGGCAAAUAUUGGCGAGAUGCGAUAUUACCGUCCUAGCCCCAACGGACGAGACGUCCAAAUUUUACAAGGGGGCUAAGUUCGUAACUUUCCCACAUUUCAGACAGGUGCGUCCCAAAAACAUGGUUCCCCGUACCUCUCCCUCCAUUUUCCCAUUCAUACAUCGUACACGCUAGAACACCAUCCCCACACGAGCCUCCUCCGUCCGCCACCCCAUCCAUCGCCGCCGUCCUCUGCCCCAUCCAUCACCACCGUCCUUCACCAUGCCGGAGCGCCUACCAAGACCACGUCGUCCACUGCUAGAGAUGGACGUUUCUCAUCCACGGCAACAGACCAAGAGCCUUGCAUCGCGUCCUCUUGCUUCAUCGGCGCUGUCGUCCUCUUUGUCGUGGCCGCUCACACAACCUUCUCUUCCACCAGAACGGGACUUAUCCCUCGAUGCACCCAUCUACCGUUGCAGAUCUGCUUCAACGCCACCGACAGCCAUCGCACCCUCGAUGCCUACACGACGUCGCAAGAGAGGUGGUACUUCAUAUCUCUUGAACUUUUUGAUCUCAACCAGAAAAUAGAUCGUAACUUGGUUACUCCACAUUCUUUUCAGCUCUUAGAAUUUAGUUCCUAGUUCGAAGCAAACAAUGGAAGCUAAAUGUCAUUUCUCUGGUGUGCAACUUCAAAUCCACCAUGGCACAGUCAUAAUAUGGUUUAAUUGAUCAUGCAUAGGGUUUAAUUGAUCAUGUUGGUUUCGUGGUGGUUUCUUUAAUAGAAAUCGGAGGGGAAACCCUCUUUUGCUAAAAAAAAUAUGCUUAGGGUUUCCCCCUUUUAUGAUCACUAUACAAUCAGAAUACGUGCUUCGUGUCAUAAUAGCACUGCUCCACCCAUCAAGCUAAACAAGCUUAGUUGUUCAAGUACGAAUAUGAUAUUAUUAAAAUAGACUCAUUUAAUUGGUCAGCUAAAUGUUCCUAAUAUAGUUUCUAAAAUGCCUGUGCACCGCUCUGGUGUGUAUCUCUACAGGGUGCGCACGGUGGGCCACGGCCCACCCUGGGAUUUUGGGUUGUCCCAGGCCCCGAUUCCCGUCUGUUCUGCUGCGCGCUUUCGAUCUCUAGUCGCCCCUAGCCGCCUACCAUGUCGGCGACUUUCCGUCCCCGAACGGUGAUGUCUACUGCACAACCUUCGUCUUGUAGACAUUGUUGGGCCUCCAAGUGCAGAGCUUUUUAGGACAAUAGCAAAUUUCACCUUAAGUGGAUGACCUAAGGUUUAUCAAUCUGUGGGAGGCGUAGGAUGAAGAUGGUCUCUCUCAAACAACCCCGCAACCAAAUAACAAAGAGUCUCUUGUGUCCCCAACACACCCAAUACAAUGGCAAAUUGUAUAGGUGCACUAGUUUGGCGAAGAGAUGGUGAUACAAGUGCGAUAUGGAUGGUAGAUAUAGAUUUUUGUAAUCUGAAAAUAUAAAAAUAGUAAGGUAACUAAUGAUAAAAGUGAGCGUAAAUGGUAUUGCAAUGCUAGGAAACAAGGCCUAAGGUUCAUACUUUCACUAGUGCAAGUUCCCUCAACAAUAAUAACAUAACUAGAUCAUAUAACAAUCCCUCAACAUGCAACAAAGAGUCACUCCAAAGUCACUAAUAGCAGAGAACAAACGGAGAGAUUAUUGUAGGGCAUGAAACCACCUCAAAGUUAUUCUUUCUGAUCGAUCUAUUCAAGAGUCCGUAGUAAAAUAACACAAAGCUAUUCCUUCCGUUUGAUCUAUCCUAGAGUUCAUACCAGAAUAACACCUUAAGACACACGUCAACCAAAACCCCAGUGUCACCUAGAUACUCUAAUGUCACCUCAAGUAUAUCUGUGGGUAUGAUUAUACGAUAUGCAUCACACAAUCUCAGAUUCAUCUAUUCAACCAACACAAAGAACUUCAAAGAGUGCCCCAAAGUUUCUACCGGAGAGUCAAGACGAAAACGUGUGCCAACCCCUAUGCAUAAGUUCACAAGGUCACUGAACCCGCAAGUUGAUCACCAAAACAUACAUCAAGUGGAUCACGUGAAUAUCUCAUUGUCACCACAGAUAAGCAUAUGCAAGACAUACAUCAAGUGUUCUCAAAUCCUUAAAGAUUCAAUCCGAUAAGAUAACUUCAAAGGGAAAACUCAAUCCAUUACAAGAGAGUAGAGGGGGAGAAACAUCAUAAGAUCCAACUAUAAUAGCAAAGCUCGCGGUACAUCAAGAUCGUGCCGAAUCAAGAAAACGAGAGAGAGAGAGAGAUCAAACACAUAGCUACUGGUACAUACCCUCAGCCCCGAGGGUGAACUACUCCCUCCUCGUCAUGCAGAGCACCGGGAUGAUGAAGAUGGCCACCGGUGAAGGAUCCCCCCUCGGGAAGGGUGCCGGAACAGGGUCCCGAUUGGUUUUUGGUGGCUAUAGAGGCUUGCGGUGGCAGAACUCCGGAUCUAGGUUUCUUUCUGGAGGUUUGGGUAUUUAUAGGAGGGUUUGGCGUCGAGAACAAGUCAGGAGGACCCACGGGGUGUCCACGAGGCAAGGGGGCGCGCCAUAGGGGGGUGUGCGUGCCCUCCACCCUAGUGGGCCCCACAAGCCUCCUCUCCGGUAACUCUUUAUUCCAGUAUUUUUUAUAUUUUCCGGAAAAAAUCUCUGUUGAUUUUCAGCGCAUUCCGAGAACUUUUAUUUCUGCACAAAACAACACCACGGUAGUUCUACUAAAAACAGCGUCAGUCCAGGUUAGUUCUAAUCAAAUCAUACCAAAAUCAUGUAGAAAUAUUAUAAACAUGGCAUGAAUACAUCAAAAAUUAUAGAUAUGUUGGAGACGUAUCAGCAUCCCCAAGCUUAAAUCCUGCUCGUCCUCGAGUAGGUAAAUGAUAAACACAGAACUUUUGAUGUGGAAUGGUACCUAACAUAUUUAUCAAUGUAAUAUUCUCUAUUGUGGCAAGAAUAUUCACAUCCAUAAGAUUCAAAACAAAAGUUUAAUAUUUACAUAAAAACGAUAAUACUUCAAGCAUACUAACAAAAUAAUUAUGUCCUUUCAAAAUAACAUGGCCAAAGAAAGCUUCUCCCUACAAAAACAUAUAGUUUGGCCAUGCUUCAUUUUCGUCACACAAAAUGCUCCCAUCAUGCACAACCUCAGUUUCAGCCAAGCAAUUGGUUCAUACUUUUUAGCACGCUUCAUCCUUUUCAAUCCUCACGCAAUACAUGAGCGUAAUCCAUGGACAUAGCACUAUGGGUGGAGUAGAGUAUGAUGAUAGGGAUUAUGUGAGAAAACAAAAAAGGAGAAAGUCUUAAUAUUGACAUGGCUAAUCAACGGGCUAUGGAGAUGCCCAUGAAUUGAUGUCAAUACGAGGAGUAGGGAUUGCCAUGCAACAGAUGCACUAGAGCUAUAAAUGUAUGAAAGCUCAUCAAAAAGAAACUAAGUGGGUGUGCAUCCAACUUGCCUGCUCACGAAGACCUAGGGCAUUUUGAGGAAGCCCAUCAUUGGAAUAUACAAUCCAAGUUCUAUAAUGAAAAAUUCCCACUAGUAUAUGAAGGUGACAACAUAGGAGACUCUCUAUCAUGAAGAUCAUGGUGCUACUUUGAAGCACAAGUGUGGUAAAAGGAUAGUAACAUUGUCCCCUCUCUCUUUUUCUCUCAUUUUUUGGUGGGCUUCUUUGGCCUCUUUUAUUUUUAUUUGGGCUUCUUUGGCCUCUUUUAUUUUUCAUAAAGUCUGGAGACUCAUCCCAAAUUGGGAGGGAAUCAUUGCUUCCAUCAUCCUUUCCUCACAUGGGACAAUGCUCUAAUAAUGAAGAUCAUCACACUUUUAUCUACUUACAACUCAAGAAUCUUAGAACAAAAUAUGACUCUAUGUGGAUGCCUAUGACAGUGUACUGGGAUAUGCAAUGAAUCAAGAGCGACAUGUAUGAAAGAAUUAUAAGGGUGGCUUUGCCACAAAUAUGAUGUCAACUACAUGAAUAUGCAAAGCAAUAUGACAAUGAUGGAGUGCGUCAUAAUAAAUGGAACAGUGGAAAGUUGCAUGGCAAUAUAUCUCGAAAUGGCUAUGGAAAUGCCAUAAUAGGUAGGUAUGGUGGCUGUUUUGAGGAAGAUAUAAGGAGGUUUAUGUGUGAUAGAGCGUAUCGUAUCACGGGGUUUGAAUGCAUCUACGAAGUUUGCACCAACUCUCAAGGUGAGAAAGGGCAAUGCACGGUACCGUAAAGGCUAGCAAAUUGUGGAAGGGUAAGAGUGCUUAUAAUCCAUGGACUCACAUUAGUCAUAAAGAACUCAUAUACUUAUUGAAAAGUUUAUUAUCCCUCGAAGCAAAGUACUACUACGCAUGCUCCUAGGGGAAGGGUUGGUAGGAGUUAACCAUCGCGCGAUCCCGACCUCCACUCAUAAGGAAGGCAAUCAAAGAACACUCCAUGCUUCAAAUUUGUCACGCAACGUUCACCAUACGUGCAUGCUACGGGACUUGCCAACUUUAACACAAGUAUUUCUCAAUUUGAUAAUUGCCCAACUAGCAUGACUCUAAUAUUACCAUCCUCAUAUCUCAAAACAAUCAUCAAGAAUCAAACUUCUCGCAGUAUUCAAUGCACUUUAUAUGAAAGUUUUUAUUAUAUCCCUCUUGGAUGCCCAUCAUAUUAGGACUAAUUUUAUAACCAAAGCAAAUUACCAUGCUGUUUAAGACUACCAAAAUAAUAUAAGUGAAGCAUGCGAGUUCAUCUAUUUCUUCAAAAUAAAACCACCGUCGUGCUCUAAAAAGAUAUGAGUGAAGCACUAGAGCAAAUGACAAACUACUCCAAAAGAUAUAAGUGAAGAUCAAUGAGUAGUCGAAUAAUUAUGCAACUAUGUGAAGACUCUCUAACAUUUAAGAAUUUCAGAUCUUGGUAUUUUAUUCAAACAGCAAGCAAAACAAAACAAAAUGACAUUUCAAGGAUAGCACACAUCAUGUGAAGAAGCAAAAACUUAGGUUCAACCGAUACUAACCGAUAAUUGUUGAAGAAGAAAGGUGGGAUGCCUACCGGGGCAUCCCCAAGCUUAGAUGCUUGAGACUUCUUGGAAUAUUAUCUUGGGGUGCCUUGGGCAUCCCGAAGCUAGAGAUUUUGUGUCUCCUUAAUUCCUUUUAUAUCUCGGUUUCCUAAACCUCGAAAGCUUCAUCCACACCAAACUCAACAAGAACUCGUGAGAUAAGUUAGUGUAAACCAAUGAAAAAACCUUAUCAUUUUCUACUGUAACAAAUCACAAAAAUUAUUAUUCAACAUUGCAUACUAAAUUUCUCUGUGUAUUUAAUACUCCUAUCCUCAAAUAGAAUCAUUAAACAAGCAAACAUAUGCAAACAAUGCAAACAUAACAGCAAUCUGCCAAAACAGUACAGUCUGUAAAGAAUGCAAGAUUCAUCAUACUUCCCUAACUCCAAAAAUUAUGAAAGUUCUACCACACUGUAGAAUAUUUAUCAGAUCUCAAUAUGCAAGAAGUUUCAACAUUUUAUCAUUUUCUGUCUUUUCUAGGGAAUUUUUGCAACAGCGGUAAACUUUCUGUUUUGAAGCAGCAACAUGUACACUUGCAAAAUAAGCAUGGUGAAGACUAUCCUUGAAAUUUUUAUUGAAAAUAUAGAUGCAAAAAAUUUAAAUAACAGAAAGCAAAUACUAAAAAAAUAAAAUGACGCUCCAAGAAAAACACAUAUCAUGUGGUGAAUAAGAAUAUAGCUCCAAGUAAAGUUACCGAUGAACGAAGACGAAAGAGGGGAUGCCAUCCGGGGCAUCCCCAAGCUUAGGCUCUUGGUUGUCCUUGAAUAUUACCUUGGGGUGCCUUGGGCAUCCCCAAGCUUAGGCUCUUGCCACUUCUUAUUCCAUAGUCCAUCGAAUCUUUACCCAAAACUUGAAAACUUCACAACACAAAACUCAACAGAAAACUCAUAAGCUCCGUUAGUAUAAGAAAAUAAACCACCACUUAGGUACUGUUGUGAACUCAUUCUAAAUUCAUAUUGGUGUAAUAUCUACUGUAUUCCAACUUCUCUAUGGUUCAUACCCUCCGAUACUACUCAUAGAUUCAUCAAAAUAAGCAAACAACACAUAGAAAACAGAAUCUGUCAAAAACAGAACCGUCUGUGGUAAUCGGUAACUCUCGAAUACUUCUGUAACACAAAACAUUCUACAAAAUUAGUAAAAUCUGAGAAAUUUGUGUACCAAUCCAGAGCAAAAAUAAUCAGAUCAAAAUCACGUUUCUCUGAAUUAUCAAAACUAAUUUACUGGGCGCAAAAGUUUCUGAUUUUCAGCAGGAUCAACACAACUAUCACCGUAAGCUAUCCUAAAGGUCUUACUUGGUACUUUAUUGAAACAAAACCUAUAAAACAUGAUUACUAAAGUAGCAUAAUCAUGUGAAUACACAAAAACAGUAAAGGUAAAUAUUGGGUUGUCUCCCAACAAGCACUUUUCUUUAAUGACUUUUAGCUAGGCAUGAUGAUGACAAUGAUGCUCACAUAAAAGAUAAAAAUUGAAACACAAUGGGCGCGUCAUGAAGCAUAUGACUAACACAUUUAAGUGUAACCCACUUCCUAUGCAUAGGGAUUUUGUGAUCAAACAAUUUAUGAGAACAAGAAUCAACUAGCAUAGGAAAGCAAAACAAGCAUAACUUCAAGAUUUUAAGCACAUAGAGAGGAAAGUUAAUAUUAUUGCAAUUACUACAAGCAUAUAUUCGUCCCUCAUAACAAUUUUCAGUAGAAUGAUGAAUGAAUUCAACAAUAUAAUUAUCACAUAAAGCAUUCUUUUCAUGAGCCACAAGAAUAUAAUUUUUAUUACUCUCCACAUAAGCAAAUUUCUUCUCAUGAAUAGUAGUGGGAGAAAACUCAACAAAAUAACUAUCAUGUGAAGCAUAAUCCAAUUGAAAAUUAAAAUCAUGAUGACAAGUUUCAUGGUUAUCAUCGGAUUUCGGGUUCCGGCAUACCCUUGAGGUUCGAACACUGGGGUGCGCGCGGAGAUUCAACCCUCUAUCGGCUCGCUCCUCGCCGAAUAGCUAGGACCUAAACUACCAAACUGAACAGCACAAGAGACACAAGAUUUAUACUGGUGCAGGCCACCAUUGUGGUGUAAUACCCUACUCCAGUGUGUGGUGUGGUGGAUUGCCUCUUGAGCUUGAUGAUGAACAAUACAAGGCAGAACAGCCUCGCGAGGGUCUGUUCUUGGCUGGUGUGACGAACUGCUGGGAGGAGUUCAAUCGUUCUAUCUACUGGUUCCUUGGUGAGGAUCCCGAUUGCUAGGUCAGGUCCAGAUGCCUCUACCCUGGGGGUGGCUAGUCCUAUUUAUAGGCAAAGGCCCUGGGCCUCUUCCCAAAUAUUGAGCGGGAAGGGUGCCAACAAUUGGCCAUUUUGAAGGGCAACAAUGGGUACACUUAUCCUGACUAAAGAUGGUCCUCGCCUGUCAAAGGCUCUAGUGGUGACUUCCUUCCGGCCGUUGGGCUGGUCUUGGUCUUGUUGCACCGAAAUGGGUGCCUUUGCUUGAUGCUCUCGCCUGCGCUUGCUCCCUUUGCACCAAAGAGGAAAGGAGGACACUACGCGGGCUGGCGCCCGACUGGCGCCCCUGGUCAUCAUGGCUUGCGUCAUGGGCACCUCGCGAGGUACCCCGCCUUGAACUCUCCGCCUCCUCAUGAGCCAGCCUGACGAGACCGUGCCUGAGGAAGCUCCUUGUCGUCCGCCCCGCGAGGCUUGGCCCCUCGCGAGGGUCUUGAGCUUGUGCUAGUGAAGAUGGGCUGUGCUGGGCCUCCUUUGAGCCACCCCGCAGGCCGAAGGCAGGCAAGUCUGGGGACCCCCGUUCCCAGAACGCCGACAGUAGCCCCCGGGCCCACGGCACGCCCGAACUUGGCCGAGCAGAGAGGCAAAAGGGCAAGUGCGAAGCAUCGCGGGCCCUAACAGCCUGCGGCCUUGGGCACCGCGUGGCGGUUGAUUGGACGUGGGCGCCUCUGCUUCCCACGACGCCUUGGUAACCGCACGGAUUCGACAAGUCCCUGCAUGCAAAGCGGGUCAUGAUUACCUGUGAUCGUGGAGGUCGAUGGUUCGCCUUCGCUGGUUAUAAGUACGGAACGGCGCGCGCCCUUCCGGUCUAUCCCUCUGCUUUUCCUCCUUCCUGGGCCUUGCUCCGUCUUGCUGCAAUGGCUCCGAUCCGCCGGUUCUCCGCGGAAGAGAAGGGAAAAGGUCCCCAAGAGGAUCCUGACCCGCUUCCCCCGAUGAAGCAGCUGGCCCUCUGGUGUCAGGGCGAGGGCACUCGCCAGGAAGCGUCAAGACCCUGGUGUGAGCGGCCACCACCAGGGUUCCCUCUUCCCUUGUACGCGCACAUUGGCGGCUCUGAAGGAGUCGACGCCGAACGCUACGAGCGGCACCGCCGACGAUGCCGGCGGGUCAUGAAGGUGUGCGUCUUCCCCCCUGGAGUUCAAGCCGAGGGCUCCUGCCGAGAGUUCGUGCUUCAUGCCGCCACGCCUCCUAAGUCUUGGAUUCGUCUCCCCUCUUUCUUCGCCUCCGUCGUCCGGCGGGGGGUACCCCUCGGGCUUUGGCUGCAACACGCCGGCUGCGGCACCCUCGCGACCGGGGCAGAGGUCGCGGUCGUUGCCCCGGGCGAGGUCUUCAUUACUCGAGUUUGGGGCGAGGUCGCCCAGGUCUGCAAGACGAGGGGCGCCCUCACGAUCCAUCUGGAGUACGAUGGUGCUUCGGUGAUGUCCUUCAAGGUCUUCGAUGCGGAGGGUCGCCGGCUGGAGUGUUUCCACGAGAGAGGCGGUCGGGAUCCUGCCGCGGCGAGACAGAGGCCGGCCGACCGCUCCCUUGGCUGCUCCUCAGGCGACGGAGGCACAGGAGGAUCCAGUGACUCCGCCGAGCUCUUCGCGACCCCGGAGAUGAGCGACGACAGCUACGAGCCCCCGAGCAUGCGCCGUUCCCGGAAGAGGGCGGGCUCGUCAGGCCGUCGCCGCCUCUGAUCUGGAUGGGGUUGGCGUUGGUGCUGGGCGGCCCACUGUUGAUGAUGGCGUCUGCCGCGAUGCCCCCUGUAGUUAGGACUCCUUAGGAUUUGCGCCUUUUGUUCCUGCGAGGGGCCAAGAAUAUACCCCACGGGGGCUUGUAAGAUGUUUGUAGCUUCGUCUGUCAAUAUGAUCCUUAUUGUGAAGUGGUGCGAGAUGCUUAUUCCGUUUUAGCUUAGUUUCCUCCUUUCAGACCUCGCGAGGGCUUGAUGCUCUGCGCCGAUAGGUCCCAGUCCUAAGGCGGCUUCAGCCGUCGCUGGUAUGCCAGGUCACGAUGCCGUGGUCAAGGCCAGGAGGUGAGUGGCCCGAGGUCCGGUAAGAGCCCCUGAGUCGCGAUGCUCAAGAGGUCCCCCUUAGCGCUCAAGCAGCCAUCAUUCAGUGAGAAAGGAGAGCGACGUUGCUAACACGGGAUUGCACUUGGUGCGGGAGCGGUGCUGCGAUAACCAAUGCUUCCGGAGAGUGACUUAUCUCGAGGGUCAGAAUAAUGCUUCCUGGUGCGGCGAUAGAUCCGUGCCUUCGCCGAUGUGAGGUCGCUUGGCGGCGCUCCUUGGAGGGACCCUGCAGGUUCAUCACAAAAGGAACAAGGGUUUGUCGCGACAAUUGACAGUCAGCCGUUAGUUGCUGCGGAGGGGCAUGAAAGGCCCUGCGAGGUGUAUUGGGGUACCCGUGAGCCAGCGUGGGACUCACGGGGCCCUACUUCAAGGCGGGUUGCGCCUGGCUCUGGGCCUUAUCUUCAAGUGUGUUCCUGCAAAUUUGGCCAGAUGCAGGUGCUCUACGUCUUCGGGUCCCGGCUCUCGGGCUGGUAUCAGCCGUCACUGGCAUGCCAGGUCGCGAUGCCAUGGACAAGACCAGAGAGUGAGGGCCGGAGAGCCGGUAGGAGCCCUGAGUCGCGCUGAUCAGGCACCCCCCCUUUAACGCGCAAGCUGGGUUAGAUGUCGAAACUCUACGUCCUCGGGUCCCGGCUCUCGGGCUGGUCUCAGCCGUCACUGGCAUGCCAGGUCGCGAUGCCAUGGACAAGACCAGAGGGUGAGGGCCGGAGAGCCGGUUGGAGCCCUGAGUCGCGAUGCUCAGGCACCCCCCCUUUAACGCGCAAUCAUGGCAAAAAUGAUAAAUGAGCAAGUUAUAACAGUUUCAGCAGAUUAACAUCAACAUGCACUCUUCCAACAGCAUUUCGGGCAUCAAGAUGAGCUCAAAUGAAAAUGAUGCAAUGGAAUGAAAUGAUCUACUCGUCGAGACGAACAAUUUGACAUAUUAUACGCACGAAGCGGAGCUACAGAUGCAGAGAUGUGAUGGCAUGAACAUGGCAUGAUUAUGUUAACAUAACAGGGACAGACGUUUUCAGAGGGGGAAGUCAACCUUGCACGGAUAUUGAUGCACGACGUGAGCUCACCGGAGAACGGGCGGGCGCGGCCGGAGCAAGUGCCGGCGAGGUCGGGGCGGGGCGGGGGCGGCGAAUCCGGCCGGAUCCUCGNNNNNNNNNNNNNNNNNNNNNNNNNNNNNNNNNNNNNNNNNNNNNNNNNNNNNNNNNNNNNNNNNNNNNNNNNNNNNNNNNNNNNNNNNNNNNNNNNNNNNNNNNNNNNNNNNNNNNNNNNNNNNNNNNNNNNNNNNNNNNNNNNNNNNNNNNNNNNNNNNNNNNNNNNNNNNNNNNNNNNNNNNNNNNNNNNNNNNNNNNNNNNNNNNNNNNNNNNNNNNNNNNNNNNNNNNNNNNNNNNNNNNNNNNNNNNNNNNNNNNNNNNNNNNNNNNNNNNNNNNNNNNNNNNNNNNNNNNNNNNNNNNNNNNNNNNNNNNNNNNNNNNNNNNNNNNNNNNNNNNNNNNNNNNNNNNNNNNNNNNNNNNNNNNNNNNNNNNNNNNNNNNNNNNNNNNNNNNNNNNNNNNNNNNNNNNNNNNNNNNNNNNNNNNNNNNNNNNNNNNNNNNNNNNNNNNNNNNNNNNNNNNNNNNNNNNNNNNNNNNNNNNNNNNNNNNNNNNNNNNNNNNNNNNNNNNNNNNNNNNNNNNNNNNNNNNNNNNNNNNNNNNNNNNNNNNNNNNNNNNNNNNNNNNNNNNNNNNNNNNNNNNNNNNNNNNNNNNNNNNNNNNNNNNNNNNNNNNNNNNNNNNNNNNNNNNNNNNNNNNNNNNNNNNNNNNNNNNNNNNNNNNNNNNNNNNNNNNNNNNNNNNNNNNNNNNNNNNNNNNNNNNNNNNNNNNNNNNNNNNNNNNNNNNNNNNNNNNNNNNNNNNNNNNNNNNNNNNNNNNNNNNNNNNNNNNNNNNNNNNNNNNNNNNNNNNNNNNNNNNNNNNNNNNNNNNNNNNNNNNNNNNNNNNNNNNNNNNNNNNNAACCGCCGGCGACGAGAGGCUGCGGUCCGGGCGCGGAGGCGCGGGCCGAACGGCGGCGGCAGCGCGGGCUCGCGCGGUCCUGAUUCAGGUCCCGCGGGCCGCGCGGAGGAGAGAGAUGGCGGCGGGCCACGUGGCAGCGCGCCACUGGCCGAGGGAUUGGCCCGGGCGACGUGGAGGCUGGACAUGUCCGGCGGGGUUGGACAUGUCCGGUGCGCGAGGGGAGCGGGGCUAGGGUUUCGUCCGCGAAAAUGGAAGGGGAGGACGUUUAUAUAGGCAUAGGGAGCUAGGAGAGUCCAAAUGAGGAGCGGUUUUCGGCCACGCGAUCGUGAUCGAACGACCGAGAGCAUGGAGGGGAGUUAGAUGGGUUUUGGGCCACUUUGGAAGGGGUGUUGGGCUGCAACAAAAGAGGCCUCUGCGGUUUCCCGGUUAACCGUUGGAGUACCAAACGACCUACAAAUGGCACGGAACUUGACAGGCGGUCUACCGGUGCUAAACCAAGGCCGCUUGGCAAACCUCGAGCCAUUCCGAGAAAGUUUAACACCCGCACACAAAAGGAGACAAGAAGGGGACGCCGGGUGAGAUAGGAGCACCGGAUUGCAAAACGGACAACGGGGAAAAUGCUCGGAUGCAUGAGACGAAGACAUAUGCAAAAUGAAAUGCACAUGAUGACAUGAUAUGAAAUGCAUAUGAUGAGAUGGCAAAGUGCAACACUGUAACGCCCUCGAUGCGGCUAUAUCUCCCACGUGUCGAAGCACGACUUAGAGGCAUAACCGCAUUGAAAGCAAUGUCGCAAGUGAGGUAAUCUUCACACAACCCAUGUAAUACAUAAGGGAAAGAGAUACAUAGUUGGCUUACAAUCGCCACUUCACACAAUUACAUGAAUAAAGCAUUACAUCAUCUAGAUACAAUCAAGGUCCGACUACGGAACCAAAAUAAAAGAAGAACCCCAAUUGCGACAAAGGUCCCCAAUCGACCCCAACUGGGCUCCACUACUGAUCAACUGAAACGAAACAACACAAUGAACAAGAUCUUCAUCGAGCUCCUCCUUGAGCUUGGUUGCGUCACCUGCUCGGUAACAUAGGCACCUGCAAACUGGUUUUGGAAGUAUCUGUGAGCCACGGGGACUCAGCAAUCUCGCACCCGCGAGAUCAAGACUAUUUAAGCUUAUGGGUAAGGUAAAGGCAUGAGGUGGAGCUGCAGCAAGCGACUAGCAUAUAUGGUGGUUAACAUACGCAAAUGAGAGCGAGAAGAGAAGGCAAAGCACGGUCGAUAAAAGUAUGAUCAAGAAGUGAUCCUGUAGCAACCUACGUCAAGAAUAACUCCAACACCGUGUUCACUUCCCGGACUCCGCCGGAAAGAGACCAUCAUGGUUACACACACGGUUGAUGUAUUUUAAUUAAGGUCAACUUCGGGUUUUCUACAACCGGACAUUAACAAAUUCCCAUCUGCCACAUAACCGUGGGCACGGCUCUCGAAAGUUUAUACCCUGCAGGGGUGUCCCAACUUAGCCCAUGACAAGCUCUCGCGAUCAACGAAGGAAUAGACCUUCUCCCAGGAAGACCCGAUCAGGCUCGGAAUCUCGGUACAUCAAGACAUUUCGACAAUGGUAAAACAAGACCAGCAAGACCUCCCGCUGUGCCGACAAAUCCCGAUAGGAGCUGCACAUAUCUCGUUCUCAGGGCACACCGGAUGAGCCAGACGUCGGGUUGGCAUAGACCCUGGUUGCCCAGGGGGCGCCGGACAUCGCUCAGGUUGGACCAACACNNNNNNNNNNNNNNNNNNNNNNNNNNNNNNNNNNNNNNNNNNNNNNNNNNNNNNNNNNNNNNNNNNNNNNNNNNNNNNNNNNNNNNNNNNNNNNNNNNNNNNNNNNNNNNNNNNNNNNNNNNNNNNNNNNNNNNNNNNNNNNNNNNNNNNNNNNNNNNNNNNNNNNNNNNNNNNNNNNNNNNNNNNNNNNNNNNNNNNNNNNNNNNNNNNNNNNNNNNNNNNNNNNNNNNNNNNUAAAAUAAAGAUGACCCUUGGGCUCCGGAAACCCAAGGGAAAAAAAGGGGCUAGGUGAGACAAAUGGUAAAAUGAAGGUUGGGCCUUGCUGGACAAGUUUUAUUCAAAGCGAACUGUCAGGGGGGUCCCAUAAAUCACCCGACCGCGUAAGGAACGCAAAAUCAGGGAACAUAACACCGGUAUGAUGAAAACUAGGGCAGCAAGAGUGGAACAAAACACCAGGCAUAAGGCCGAGCCUUCCACCCUUUACCAAAUAUAUAGAUGCAUUAAUAAUAUAAGAGAUAUUGUGAUAUCCCAACAAGUAAACAUGUUCCAACAAGGAACAACAUCUCCAUGUUCCAACAAGGAACAAACUUUAAUCUUCACCUGCAACUAACAACACUAUAAGAGAGGCUGAGCAAAGCGGUAACAUAGCCAAACAACGGUUUGCUAGGAAUGGUGUCAAAGGUUAGAGGUUUGACAUGGCAAUUUGGGAGGCUGACAAGCAAAUGGUAGGCAUCGUAGCAUUGGCAUAGCAAAAGAGCGAGCAAACUAGCAUAGCAAAGAUAGUAGUGAUUUCGACGGUAUGCUCAUCUUGCCUGAGAUCCCGCAAGGAAGAAGAACGAUUCCAAGAAGAAGACAAACCGUCGUAGACGAACGAACCCUCACAACUUCGGAACGAAACCGAAGCUAACGAGAGAAGCAAACCGGAAAGAAGCAAACAAUAUGGUAAACACACAAGCAUAAACAUGUCAUGAUGCACAAACAAGUAUGAUGCAUGUCCGGUUUAAUGAGGCAUGGCAUGGCAAAGUGCACAAACAACACUACAAGUUAAGUGGAGCUCAAUAUGCAACGAGUUGCAUAUUGACGAAACACCACAUCAAUUAUUUAGUUCUCUCUCGGUUAUGAACACAACAAUAUUAAAUGUUUGUUAACAUGCAAGUGGUGAAGCAUAACAAAAACUAUACCAUCUAAACAAUUUAAAUGGGGCCGGAUAUAAAAACAACAAAUCCGAUAAAUCCCCAUAUGCAUUUAGCAAUUUAAUGCAACAACAAGUUUAAACAUUUUAAUUGUUGCUAUCAUGAUGCGGAUGACAUAUACAAGUUUUAUGCAGUUUUAUGAAUACGUUGACAUGAGCAUGUUAUGAAGCAUUUGUCGCCAUGGCGGAACAAAAGGGGUGCCACGGCGGCGAAACGAAAAGGGUGCCACGGCGACGAAACGAAAAGGGUGCCACGGCAACAUAUCCGAAAAUGAUGCCACGGCAACAUAUUGGUUCCGGUAGCUCACGGAGAUACCGGUGCGAAAGGAGGCGUGACGUGAGCGAGUCAUGCAAGAUGGUGGGGUGAUCCCGGCUACCGGGUUCCCACGUGACAGUGGCAUGGCAAAAGAGCAAGGAGCUUGCAAUGACAAUUCGGACACGGUGCACACACAAGCAUUCGUCCACGGUCGUCGUCUUGGCGGUUAUACCUUUGAAUCGUGCAUUAACGAAGCGGAUCAAGUUCGGCGAAGGAAGUAGUCGUUCUCGCGGCGGCGGUAGUGGAAGUAGUUGUACUCGGCCGUAGCGGAAGUAGACGUUCUCGCGACGGUAGUGGAAGUAGUGGUACACGGUGACGGUAGUUGUACACGUGUUGUAGUCGAACUUGACGGAGCCAACGUCCUCAAGGGUAGUCAUGGUACUUGGGGUCUUCGGACUUGCCGGUCUCGGUUUUUGCGACGGUAGUGGUACAUGGCAAUGUUGGGGUACUUGUCGGUCCGGUUUUUGCGGUGUAGAUGUACACAUUGUCGGGGUACUUGUCACAUCACCGGGUGUAAUCGUACACGGGUCCUCGUCUUCAUGGUUCUUGGCGUCCUCACGGCCUUGACAGUGAAGAAACGGAACGCGGCGACAAAACGAGGGUGAGGCAGCAGAGGGCCACGGCUGCUGGUCAACGAAAGUUGCCGGAAGAGGAAGCAAACAAGGCGGCGCGAUCUCUGGCGAAUGGCAAUGCGGCGGCCUGAGGGGUCACCAGCACAAGCGAAAUGGUAGCGGGCAACGCUGCUGUCGAGAGAUGGAGGUCGGGGCCGGAGCUGAGCAACGCCAGCAGGGGCGGAUGGGCGCGAAGAGGCCGGGAGGAGCAGCGCUCGGCACCGGUUGACGCGGAGCAGGGGAGGCGGAGCUCCUGCUCGAAGAGGUGCGACGAGGAGAACCACGGGCACGAAGGAUGGCGGCGAGGACGAUGGAUCCGGGCGGCGGCCGCGGCUCGAGAGCCUCUCCCGAUCGGGACGAGGACGGCGAGGGCCGAGCGAGUAGGCGGCGUCAUGAGGGACACUGACGGCAGGGUCGCGCGCGAGGAAGGAGAGGCCGGGGCGGCGGCCAUGGCCUCGGCGAAGGGGUCGGGUGCGGGACUCCUGUGGGGCGGCGAUGCAACAGAGCGGCAGCUCGGGAGAAGACGAGAGGGAGAGGAUGAGGGGAUCGGGAUGAGUGGCCACGGGAGCGAGGGUAGGUAACAGCGCGAGGGGAGAAGUGGGGAUCGAGGGAGAGAGAUGCGAGCGCAAAGGAGGGAGAUGGAGGCGCUGCGGGAGGGAGAUGGGAUCGAGAGGAGGGUUCGCUAGGGGGUCGACUAGGGUUAGCAGGGGGAUCGGUGGGCCUCGGUGAUGGAUGGGCCGGCGAGAGGCCCAGCUGGGCUGGACUCUCUUCUCCCUCUCCCCUAUUUCCUUCUCUCUAAAUAACAGAGAAAUAAAGAGAAAGAAAAGAGAGAAGAGAAGGUUAGAGGAAGAAUUUGGGCAGGAGGACAACUUUUCCAGAGUCAUAAAAAUAUGAGGAAUUUGACAAAAAUGGCCUGACAAUUUUUGGAGGAAGUAAAAUCCACACACGUUGGAUUUAACUCGGUAAGUUCGAAUUUCGAAACUCAUUCAAACGAACUCCAAAUGGGUUGAAAUUAUAGGAGGUGACCCUACACAAUAUAUGUGAUUUAUGGGCAGAUUUGGGACAUUUAUGGGUAAAGUAAAAUUGCCACUCAAUUUUACUAAAAGGCCCCAAAGGAAGAAGGGGAAGUUGAGAAGGAUAAAAGGAAAUUUGAAGAACAGUGCAUAUGUGUUAUGGGUGAUUCCAAAAAUGGAAUAUUUAUAAUAUCUCUCUAAAUAUCGAGAGGAUAUGUUUCAAAGAGAAUCACCAUGUGAAUUCCCUCGAUUUAAAUGGACCGAAGAUCCAUACGGUUUAUUUAGAUGAGUUAUAAAAAGGGUUGGAUGAUGACAUGAUGCAAUGCAAAUGAUGCAAUGAUGAAUGCAUGACAUGAACAAAAAGCAAAACGAAGACAAAAACCCAACCACAAGGAAAUAACAUAUCACAUCUCUGGAAAAGGCAAGAGUUGGAGUUACGGAUAUGGAAAGUUGCAUCCGGGGCGUUACAACACUCCACUACUACGAGAGGAUCUCGUCCCGAGAUCUAGAAUGGCACCGGAGGGAAAACAGAAUUGAAAAAGAAAGGUAAAACUAAGUUGCUUCUUUGACAAACGAGUGAAACCACAAACCUUGAGAGGUUGAGCAAUUUAAAAGAAAGAGUACAAUAGAGAUGAACGAGAUUGCAAACAAUCCAUUAGAAAAGAGGAACAAGGAGUAUUACGAGAAUUUGAAGGUUGCAAAGACAUGAAUCAAGAGUUUAAUGGACAAUGUAGAAUUCGAAACCACUCCGGUUAAAACAAGAUGAGAGAGGAAGAAUUCGGGCAGCACUCUGGUUCAACAUGGAAGGAAUAGAACAUGAACUUGAGAAGAUGGGAUGAUACUUGAUGAAAUCAACAACACACUAUCUCUGGAACUAUUGAAAGAAUGACACAAGGGGUAAGAAAGAUUUUAGACAGCUCUCCAGUAGAGGAAGGAGGGAAAACUUGAUAAAAAUUAGAGAACUCGAAUGAAAACACGACACUCCAGUUAAAUGGAUAAGCACGAAAAAGAACGUGAUCUUGACAAAGUGAUCUGAUGGGUGAAGAGAGCAACAUCACAAAGCCUCCGGGAGAAAGAAUAGAAGAUCGGUCAUUGGAAUAACAGAAUGGUGGGGGAAAUGGCAACUUCUGCCACAAUUGAGCUUGGAAAGCAUCCUUGCAAGAAGGUUAGAAUAGAGUUGUUGGAAGACCAACAACGAAAAGAAUAAGUUUUUAGUGGGCUUAUGGAAACAUCUCAACAUUAUGAGGUGACAACCGGCCACUAACGGAAACAAUUGCUUGCUUGAGAUCGACGAAGAGAUGAACACUUCUUCCAUCAAGAUGGAAAAGAGAUAACUUGGGUCAUUAAUAAGCACCAAAAUAGCAACAUUCCUUAGGGAAGGCUUUAGGUGAAAUCUAUACCAAGAUAACUCCAAAGAAGAGAUUGGUGGAUUUAAAAUACCUCAUUCUUGACAACAUGAAACAUGAAACAUGAAUGAAACUGUCAAAAUGACAUAACACCACCUGAAAAGAUAAUGUCGAAAGAAUUGCACUUCGGAAUGCAAGAUGAAGAAUGCUUGAACUCCUCAAAACAAAACAUGUGUUGAGCACCAUGUUUAUUUUACAGUAAAGCUUGGCGGAUCUUAACUUCGAGAGAAAUCUUGAAGAACAAUUGAAGAAUGAAAGGAAUCCUUGAUGAACCACCAUGUAGAGCCUCAAAGAAGAACUCCGGUAAUAAAAGGAUGAUAAAAAGAAAGAGAAGUUGAAAACACAAGGUGAAUCCUUGCCAUGAUUUAGAUGGAUCUCCGUGAUAAUUAGAGCUUGGAACUCCGGGAAAAAAGAGAAGAUGAAACAAAUGAAACCGAGAAUUUAUUCAUCAUGAACAAACUCCGAAAGAAGGAAUUAAUCACUUGGAUGAAACAAGAAUAAGAAUUAUGUUAUGCGUAUCCUUCACCAAUUUAAAUUGAUGACAAGCAACGGAUUUGGCAUACUACUUAUUCUCGUAGAAAGGAUUAAAGAGAGAUAUAGCGCCAACUUGAGAAGGUCUUCAACGAACCACCGGUAGGAUUGGAACAACAAUUGAAUUGAUAUGAUGAACAAAGAAAGAGAACUCUUGAAUGAACCACCGUAAGAAUUGAAAAUGAACGUAGCAAAGGCACAAUGCACCGGGAAGAAUUGGAAAACGAAUGAAGAUACUUGAGGGUAUUUAGAUACAAAUGAACGAAUAGAUCACGAGCUGAUUAGAUAAUACUUGAAUGAUGCACCGGUAUGAUUUGGAGAACGAGAGCUGAAAGCUUGAAUGAAUAAUACUUAUGAUGGGCUCCGGAUGACAAACUGAGAAGACUCUUGAAUAUCUCCUGAUGGGUGAAAAAGAUUCUCACAAUCGAAAACAAUUAUGAGAGGAUGGCAACAAGCUAGCACCAUGAAUCUUGAAGAGAAUAGAGCAAGAUUAAAGAGAAACUCUUCUUCGGUCUUCAAAUGAUGAGAAUGACAACGAGAAGCACCACCAAGAAUUAUUGAGACACACCGGAAGAAUCAAAAGCGAAGAGGUUGAGCCAACUAUGAAAAGAAUUUGAAAGAUCUUGGAGAAAAGCAUUUGACUGAUGAUAACUCAUUCUUACGUCAAACUUGGAGAAGAAUUUAGGAUAGCUCUGGGAAAAUAGAAGAGUCAGGUAAGAUCCUGGGAAAAGACCUGUGGGUUAGGGCCCACUCAAAAGAAAACAUCGUUGAAAUGAUUUAAAAGAGAUGUUGCACCGGUUGAAUUAAAUGACUUGAAUGAGAUACCAAUCUCGAAAGAACUAGAACGAAUGCAGAGUGGAAACACGAAUCUUCGAGAUAUCUUGAGCACUCCGGAAUAACAAAUAGCGAGAAGUAGAAUGAUAAUGAGGUGCACUGGUAUGAGAAGACAUAGAAAUGAGGAAAAAGGUAUGACCAACAAAACUUGACUUGAAUCCACCGGAGAAGAGAAAGGAAUGAGGAAUGACGAACUAGAAGAACAUCUUCUUGAGAACCACCGGGUAAGAACAUUGACGGAAAAGAAUGGAGAAACUUCACAAAAUAAAAGGAUACUUGGUAAAGAAAUCUUAGUCCUUGAAGAAAAAGGGUGGGAGGGCGGGAAAACAAAGGCAACUUGGAGACGGAUGAAACAAACACCGUUGAGAAGAAAUGAUAAUUGGUCUUGCUGAUGUUGAAGUGAUCGGAUCCACUUGAAGAGAAACACGCCGGUUGAAAAGGAUUGACAUGACAAUCUCGAUUGUCGAGAAGGAUUGGUAUUCACAUUGGAGUAUGAGAACACCAUUUCGGAAAGGUAUGGAAUCAACACUCGACAUUGAAGCAACUCGAAUACCACAACUCAAAACAAAAACAAAGGACUGGCUUGCAGAAUAAGCCGGAACAAAUACAUAUGAUAGAGAUUUACCCAAUCCCAUAUCAUGCAUCUGUCGGAAAGAUAUUCUAGGAGCUACUUGAAUUCCCACCUAUGAAACUCCCGAAAUUUUCCGGUUAUGCAAUCAGGUGUUGGGGAUACAGGGGAAGCAUAAUAUAUCUCACCCAAACUAACAAUCCCUACAUCCAAGCUGUAUCCAUCCGUCGACACAUAACCAAGAAACCUUCGGAAAUCGUGUACCUCAACCUUCGAAAAGCAUCCGUUAUACGAGUCAUGGCAAUACUCCCAUACUCACCUCAGUACUGGGUUAUCGGGGUUAUCUCACCAACAACUGCAUAAAAGAGAUUUUCGAUGUCGGCGCACUAAACUCAGGUGUUCCAGAACUGCAACGAUAAAAUUAUGAUGACAACACCUCAGAGCUCAACUCCCCGGGACACCUCCACUAAAAAAAACCCUGCUGACGGGAGGCACCAAGACAAUGUUGUCAUCAUAAAACCAUCGGAACGAUUCUAAGAUACCCGCGUGAUCCUAAAUUUUUUUUAGUGAAAUUUGAGAAGAGAAGAGUCAAAACUUCUACGUCAGGAGACCUCACCAGAGCGACGAAGGGACUGAGGAGUAAAAAGAAUUCCUAACUCUCUGAUAUAUAUAAUCCUAAAUGACUCAAAACAUUUUUCUAGACACAACUCGGCCGCUAAAAACGAUCAAGCAGUGGGGCUCCUAAGGUCGGGGAUGGCUCUGAUUACCAACUUGUAACGCCCUCGAUGCGGCUAUAUCUCCCACGUGUCGAAGCACGACUUAGAGGCAUAACCGCAUUGAAAGCAAUGUCGCAAGUGAGGUAAUCUUCACACAACCCAUGUAAUACAUAAGGGAAAGAGAUACAUAGUUGGCUUACAAUCGCCACUUCACACAAUUACAUGAAUAAAGCAUUACAUCAUCCAGAUACAAUCAAGGUCCGACUACGGAACCAAAAUAAAAGAAGAACCCCAAUUGCCACAAAGGUCCCCGAUCGACCCCAACUGGGCUCCACUACUGAUCAACUGAAACGAAACAACACAAUGAACAAGAUCUUCAUCGAGCUCCUCCUUGAGCUUGGUUGCGUCACCUGCUCGGUAACAUAGGCACCUGCAAACUGGUUUUGGAAGUAUCUGUGAGCCAUGGGGACUCAGCAAUCUCGCACCCGCGAGAUCAAGACUAUUUAAGCUUAUGGGUAAGGUAAAGGCAUGAGGUGGAGCUGCAGCAAGCGACUAGCAUAUAUGGUGGUUAACAUACGCAAAUAUGAGAGAGAAGAGAAGGCAAAGCACGGUCGAUAAAAGUAUGAUCAAGAAGUGAUCCUAUAGCAACCUACGUCAAGCUUAACUCCAACACCGUGUUCACUUCCCGGACUCCGUCGGAAAGAGACCAUCACGGUUACACACACGGUUGAUGUAUUUUAAUUAAGGUCAACUUCGGGUUUUCUACAACCGGACAUUAACAAAUUCCCAUCUGCCACAUAACGGCGGGCACGGCUCUCGAAAGUUUAUACCCUGCAGGGGUGUCCCAACUUAGCCCAUGACAAGCUCUCGCGAUCAACGAAGGAAUAGACCUUCUCCCAGGAAGACCCGAUCAGGCUCGGAAUCCCGGUACAUCAAGACAUUUCGACAAUGGUAAAACAAGACCAGCAAGACCUCCCGCUGUGCCGACAAAUCCCGAUAGGAGCUGCACAUAUCUCGUUCUCAGGGCACACCGGAUGAGCUAGACGUCGGGUUGGCAUAGACCCUGGUUGCCCAGGGGGCGCCGGACAUCGCUCAGGUUGGACCAACACUCGAAGGAGCACUGGCUCGGGGGGCUAAAAUAAAGAUGACCCUUGGGCUCCGGAAACCCAAGGGAACAAAAAGGGGCUAGGUGAGGCAAAUGGUAAAACCAAGGUUGGGCCUUGCUGGACAAGUUUUAUUCAAAGCGAACUGUCAGGGGGGUCCCAUAAAUCACCCGACCGCGUAAGGAACGCAAAAUCCGGGAACAUAACACCGGUAUGACGAAAACUAGGGCGGCAAGAGUGGAACAAAACACCAGGCAUAAGGCCGAGCCUUCCACCCUUUUCCAAAUAUAUAGAUGCAUUAAUAAUAUAAGAGAUAUUGUGAUAUCCCAACAAGUAAACAUGUUCCAACAAGGAACAACAUCUCCAUGUUCCAACAAGGAACAAACUUCAAUCUUCACCUGCAACUAACAAUGCUAUAAGAGGGGCUGAGCAAAGUGGUAACAUAGCCAAACAACGGUUUGCUAGGAAUGGUGUCGAAGGUUAGAGGUUUGACAUGGCAAUUUGGGAGGCUGACAAGCAAAUGGUAGGCAUCGUAGCAUUGGCAUAGCAAAAGAGCGAGCAAACUAGCAUAGCGAAGAUAGUAGUGAUUUCGAGGGUAUGGUCAUCUUGCCUGAGAUCCCGCAAGGAAGAAGAACGAUUCCAAGAAGAAGACAAACGGUCGUAGACGAACG